AAAAAGAAGCAAAGAUGGGGUUUGUGAGGGUCUACACAAAACCACAGCACUGUGGCGUUGGUCAUGCUCUACAAGAUGAGGUUGCGGUCUAUUUCUCCUCAGACAUACUCAGCAAUUUCUUGAAGAUUUAAACCUGGAAUACUUUUAGCACUUGAUCUUGCAUCAGGAGAAUGGGUUGGGUAAAUCAACAGAGCAUGCCAUGAUAUAGCUCCAACAGCCAACCAUUAAAAAGUCCAAGUGGUUAGAACUUUGUGGCUUUCGCGUCUCCUAGAACAACUGUUGCUGUCAAAAACCAGGGAAAUGAAAACACAUUCCAAGAUCCUCAUAAUGUUUGAGGUCAUGGGUGACAGUGCAGUGCUGGUAUAUGAAAACUGAUUCAAUUGCAUCCAUCAUUAAUCGAAAUCAUGAACAGAUUGCGUAUUUUGAUUCAGGAUAACGAGACUUUCAAACCAAGAUCUCAAAGUAAUUGUUUUUUUUUUUAUGAAAAGAAAGAGUCUCAUAGGUAGGCAGUCAAAGUUGUUGGCUACUAUAGAAAAUUUUACGAUUUCCACUUUUGUUAUUGAAUUUUAAUUCUAUCUUUUAAUUUGAUAAUUUUCAAUCAAAACUAAUUUUUAAAUUUCUAAUUUUGAUGAUUAUUAUAUUUUAUUUUUACAAUAAAAAUAUUUAUAUUAAUUUAUUGUGAAAAUUUAAUAAAAUCAAUUCAAUUUUUAAUUAAAAUGAAAUAUAUUCACAUUAUAAAACCCUCUCAAUUAUAUUUUAAAGACAUGCCUAUUUAUUUUUUAUUACAAGUGAACUUAUCCUGUGAGGAUAUAUAUAGAAACAAAAAAAAAAUUACCAAUCAAAUUUCACCAUGUGUUAUUUUUAUUUUUACAUAAAAAGAUGAAAUAAAAUAGAUAAAAUAACAUGAAAAAAAUGGACCUUUACAUAUAUUUUGGUCAAUAGAAAAUUGACACAUAAAAUAAGAUAUUUAAUACAUCUUAUUAUAAAUAUAAGAUUUUAUAAAUAAAAAUUAAUUAAUAAAAUAAUAUCAUAUUACAUUUUUUAAUAUGAAAGCCCUUGUAAAUAUUUAUAAAUAAAAGAUCUCAUGCUAGACAAAGAAAGGAGGAAGAUUACUAGAGAUACAAAACUAUUUCAUGAUAAGCUUUUCAAGAAAAAAGAAAAAAGAAAAAAAGAGAACUAUUUCAAAAGCUUUGGAGCUUUUUUUCAUUUUACGGUUGAAAUCUAAAAAAGCAAACCUCUACUUAAUGAAGCCUAAAAUAAUACAAGUUCUAGACCUUUGCAAAACACCACCAAGCGAAAUUGCCAGUACUGCAUUUACCAUGGAAAGCACAAUAAUAAUCAUCCUUUGAUUGGAUAUCAUCAUCAUUUCCUUCCUCUUCAUGCAACCAUUGGACACCAAUCGUCCUUAUUUGAAAAGCUGGAUCUUGUAGACGCACUGAAAUACUCACGUCAUCACCAUUAUCAAAUGCAGGACCAUCGACCCCUAAUUUCAUGUGCAUUAGCGAUUGGAAUUCACGAACACCACGCUUGUAACUCAUAGGGAAGAAAGAGGCUUGACGACGCAAGGAUCGACCACUGGUAUUGUUUCUGAUUUCAAGAUAAACAUGACUAGAGUCACUGUACCCUGACGUCAUACAAAACCUUGAGAACAGAAUAAAGCCACAUAUCCGGUGCGCAGGAGGUGAGGAUAUUUUGAAUGAAAAGUUAUCUACAAACUCAUUCUGAAUUAGCCAUUUAUCCUCUUCUUCCUCCUCGUAAAACCUUGUGAACAGAUUUGCAAGUCUUUGCAGUGAAGAGCAAAAAGACACAUCUAACGAACACAAAUGGGAUGGAAGCUCUGGGAGUGUCUGAAGCAUUUUGCAAUUUCUUAAAUAUAGGUGUCUGAGUAGACCAAGAUCCUUGAUGCUUUCUGGAAGAAAACGAAUUGGAGUUCCACUUAAAUCUAGACUCUCCAAGAAGCGUGGCAUUGAAAACGAGGUAAAUCUCAACAUUUUCCUCGUUGAAAACCUAGAGGGAAAGAAUAGCUUCAAUGGAAGAGAUGAAAUGAAUGAUGUAAUUGCAACAAUUCCAUCACUUUGAAGCAACUUGCGCCCCUGAUGAUGCUCUAACUCCAUAUUUAGGCUAUUAAGAUUUGAGCAACCAUCUAAAACCAGCUCUUGAAGUGAAUUCAAUCUACUCAUUUCUUCUGGAAGCUCCAUAAGACUUGUACAAUUUCUUAGAUUUAAGAUCAACAAUCUUUGUAAAUCACCAAUAGAUUCGUGAAUUUGAACCAAACGGAUGCAGUCUUCAAGUAUUAGCUUUUCAAGGGCUGGGAGACUCGAGAAGUCUGGGGUUCUAAUGAGAUCACGAGCAUGACGGAGAUCAAGAAUUUUCAAUUUUGGAAGAAACUGUUAAAAUACAUGAAUUUAGUUGUUAUCAAUUGAAAACGAGAGAGAUAGCUAUAGAGAGACUUGAUACAUACCGUUUGCCUUUCCAAGCAUCAACUAGACAGCUUCUGGAUAGAUCAAGAACCACCAGCUUCUCCAAGCAUAUGUGAUUUGGUAUGGAGCUCCAAGACAAUCCAUGCCAACAUAACCAUAUCAAAUUCUUGGGAAAGUGCUCAAAACUUCCAUGAAAAUUAGUGUAGUUUAGCUGGAGAAAUUUUACAUCUGGCAUCUUUCUAAAAGCAUCCGUGCUAAGGAUGGGAAACAAACUUGUUUGGCUAGUUUGUAAUUUUUCCCCAUCGGGAAAAUCGGAAAGCCAUUGUUGAAAGAAGUUAAGCCUGCGGCGCUUGCGACAAACCAUUGAAUCAGUACAGACAACUUCUGCAUAAUGAUAUUCCAUUAAUGAAUGCAUAUCAAUGGUAAGGCCACGCAUUUUUUCAGCAUCCUGCAUAAUAAUAUUAAAAGUACAUGAGAAAGGAAAGUAGAUGAAUGAAUAUGUCAAGGCACCACAAACCAUUUAAGUAGACAUUUAAAAAAAUUUAGCUACUUACAGUAGUUCCUUUCAAAACUGUAAAAGCAUCCCCAUGAUGCCAUAUUCUUUGCCAUUUGGGUGAUUCUUGACGAGCAAUUUCCCUACCCAUAUCUCUUACUAGUUGAUGCAUCCACAACCUUUGAUCACUGUUGAUUUCAACAAGACAUCUAUCGAUGAGAUUGUCAAUCCCAAAUCUUGCACCUUUAUCGAGCCCAUCCAGUAUCCUAACUGCAUCAUCCACAUCCAUUCCAUUGAAGAAACAUGCGAUAUCAAGGAAUAAGUUCUUGGAUAAUCACCAUCAAGAAAGUCGUAACUUAUUCGAAGAACCUUUUGAACUUCAAAUUAGGAACACUUCCAUUUGUUGUAAUGCGCUUUCCCAUAUUUCUCUUCCUUUUCCGGACAAUGAAGAGCCAAUAACUCCAAGAGCUAAUGGAAGUCCAUUACAAUGAUGUACUAUUCUCCAAGAGUCUUCUACAAAACCAUCAACAGGGUCAGCUUGUCCAAAGGCAUUCCAACUGAAAAGCUCAAGUGAUUUUUUGUUAUCCAAAGGUUCGACUUUGCACUCGAACCACUCAAUAUCAUUAGCUGAAAACAGACCCUUAUUUCUGGUUGUUACAAUGAUUUUACUUCCUUUACGAAGCCAAUUUUGCAUGCCAAUGAUUUUAUUGAAUUGGUCCCUUUUGUCCACAUCAUCUAGAACAAUAAGAGUUCUUCUGCAACAUAAUGCAUCCUUAAUCUUCAGAAUUCCUUCAUCUUCAUCAUUUAUCUCAUCAACAGUCUUUUUUAGGAUGUCGGAAAGAAGUUGCCUCUGUAGGCAAACUAUAUGUUUUGAUCUAAAAUUUGACAGGAAGCUCUUUCCUUCAAAUUCAUAAAAGUUCUGGUUAAAAACACUCUUAACUAUAGCUGUCUUUCCAACUCCACCAAUUCCAUAGAGUAAAGCAAUGGCAGCACCAUGGGAUCCAUCUUGCAACCAUGAGUUGAUAUCUUGUACCAGAGCAUCUCUUCCAAUGAAAUGAAGGGGGACAUGAAAUAUUUUUGGAUCCAAAUUCUUUGAGACAUACUCCACAAUAGAUUGGACAAACUGUGCCUCGUACCUACAUCAAAACGUAAAGUACAAUAUACGAUAAUUGCUAGUCUCUCUAUAAUGGAUAAAAAUAGACAACAUUUAGCUAAGAAAUUAAAGCAGGUUGCAUGUCAAUGAUUGAUAGUUAAAUUUGUAGGUGCGUUAUCACCACCUACUAAAACCAAAUCAUGUUUGAAAAAAAACAAACAAACAAACAAAAGAAGAAAGAAAUUAUAGGUAUUUUUUUCUUUCUUUUAUGUUUUCUUAUCGGUCUUCAUUUAAAUACUUAACUGAAAGAAAUUAAGAGUUCACGACCAGCACUCUAGUCUUAUGCUUUGUGUAUUUUAAUCGAGAGAUGCAACUUACCCAUCUCUUAAAUCCUUUCCAGCUAAAUCUGCAACUUCCUUCAAAGCAAUCCUCCACCCCUUCACCCGCUCUAUCUCCUCGAAGCGCUUUUCUUGUUCCACAAAUGCAGCAGCGAAGCUCCCUGUUUGAUUUCUGACUUCAGAUGGAUUCACAUGGUAGAAUACCGGCAAAACUAUGGAGGCGGCAGUCCUCUUAUGUUCCAUGAUCUUCACAAGUUCAUCGAGGCACCAUCUCGACCGAGCAUAGUCUUUGGAGAACACGAUUAUCGAUAUUUUCGAUUCUUGUAUUGCCUUCCGGAGCUCCAACUCUAUAUUCUCUCCUCUCCGAAUCUCAUCAUCAUCUCUAAAUGUGUGAAACCCCGCUUGAACCAGGGCCCAGUAGAGGUGAUCGGUAAAGUUCUUGCGGGUGUCUUCACCUCUAAAACUCAAGAACACUUGAUAUUUACAAUUAGAAAACCGAGAAGAGUAGGAUUCUUGAUAUUUCCCAGCAGCCAUUUCGAGUCUAGCAAAAUAAGACUUUACAAAGAUCUGGACAGAAAAAAAAAGGAAUUGCAGGAUUAAAGUCGAUAAUUCAAGAUCGACAGCACGCCAAUAAGCUGAAGUGUUCAUAUAUUAUUAUCUUACUUUUUUCUGGAAGACAAUUUUCAAGUUAUUUCCCAGCAAUCAACUCCUCCAUGCCCUUUCAGAAAAAUACUUGCAGAUAUGAUAAAUCUCUAUGCUGAACCAACAAAAUCGGUUGAUGAGAUCAUCAAUAAUUAGUUUCUAAUAGUGAAUUAAUCGAAGUGAUUCUCAGUUACAGCAGAGUUACAUUUCACAAUAUAACAUAAUACUUAAAAGAGAUAAGAGAGAGGGAGAGAGUACCUGCAAUCUUCACUUUCCCUUCGCUGAUGUUCUGUUAUCAGUCCAUCAACUUUCUGCUUUCAAGUCAACCUCACAAGUCUCUGGGGUCUGGGUCAUUUCCGCGUUAGGACCAUUUUCUUUUUUUAUUCUUUUUUUUUAUUUGCUCAAAUCAUUUAUCACGCGUGGAGUAUAAUUACCAAAAGCGACAUUAGAGACACUCACACAAACACAAUCCCUUUCAUUAACUCACACGGUUCUUCACUUCUUCUCACUUCACCCACCAGUAUCAUCAAGGCAGUUGGUCAGUUGGUCAGUUGAGUCUGAAAUAAAAAAAAAAAAAAUUUAGUGAUUUUAUAUUUGAAUUAUUAAUUACUAAUAUAAUAGCACUAAAAUUUUUAAUUAUUUUUAUUUCAGCAUAUUAAAGAAAAAAUAAAAAAAUAUUUUUUAAAAAUAUAUUAUUAAAACGAAAAACUAAACAAACUUUUAAACACGGAUAUAUUACAUAUCAUACACAGAGUUCUGAUUAUUUGAAUCAUUGGCAGAGGCAGGGAUGGCAGGAGGGGAAGUUGCUUGUUACAUCUUUGUGUAGAUUUCUUCCCCACGACUUUCCUGACCUUCUUGUUCUUUAGGAUUUUUCUUCCCACAUAUAUUAAGAGCACCCAUGGGUCGGGCCAAUCUUACAUUAAUUAACUAUAUAUAAUUAAUGUGUAUAAUUUCUUUUGCAGUGCUUUGUCUUACUUCCAGCGCAAUAUUCCUUUUUCUUUCUUUCUUUUGUGAAAUCCAACACAUCAAAUUAUGUUAAAUUAAAGUCAAUUUUGUAAGACAAUUUUGCAUCAUUUGAAUUGAUUCUAGCUUUUUCUUUCUGUUGAAAGUCAAGUGUAUAUAUAAACAAAGAAUUAGUCGGAAGUUGCUGAUUACAGGAUCAUUGCCCCGAAAUUUGCAAUAGCUUAGCCAUAACAAUUCAGAUUUUUCGGCCAAAUAUUAUAUCGAAAAAUUGAGGGGUAAAAAACCCAGACUCUACCCUUCGUAUUGUUUCUGAUUUCAAGAUAAACAAGACGAUAAGGAUUGCAUACUGACAUAGUAGAAAACCAUGUGAAUAGAUCAAAACCACAUAUCCGGUGCGCGGCGGGUGAGGAUAUUUUGAAUGACAAGUACGUACUCUACAAACUCUUUCUACAGUAGCCACUCCUGUUCUUCCUCCUCGUGAAACCACCUUAACAUCUCAUUUUCAUCAUUUUUCAAUAUGGUUCAAAUAAAAGAAGUUUAUUUAGUUAACCAAACAAAAAUAUAAGGGAGUUAUUAAAUUUUUUUUCUUUAUACCAUCUAAAUAUUUUACACAAAAAAUAAUACGUACCGGAACGUAGCGGGACCGGAACGUAGCGGGAGAAGCAUCCUAGCCAAAGCUAACUAAUGAUGUCCAUGAAGCUCUUACUUGGGUCUCGAAAACCAUUGCAAGCGACACCUUUUUGAAGCUCAGAAAAACAAACAGGCGGAAGUGAAAUGGUACGAAAUAACAGGGCAUUCAUGAUGAAUUAUGACCUUAGGUAAAGUUAAAGCUCUUUCUUUUUCCUUAGAAUUGACUAGUUGCAGUGUAUUCUCAUUAAAGCACGACAGAGGAAAGAUGAAUGGAGAAAUUAUCUCCAUUUCACACUGCUACUUUCUCGAGAACAAUCAUCUCCAGGAAGAAAAGUCUUUUCCGAGGAUCAAUCAGUCAAUUCCUUCAAAGAUUUGUAAUGGUUACAAGGAGAGACAGUAACAAUGUCGGUCGACGUAUCAGCUCGCUAGGAGGCUGAUCCCAGGAGCGGAUGGUUUACAUGAAGGGUGGCGGGGCAUGGCAUCCCAAAACUUUAGAAUUUCUUACAUUUUAGCCCUAAAAUUUUCAGCUUUUUAGUUAUACCCUUUAAUUUAACAUGUUUUGCUUCCAAAAGUGUCCCACCGAUCUAAUUGUCCACAGCAUAUCAACUGGUUCAUUCUGUCUGAGUAAUUAAUCCAGGAACCACUUUCAUGAUCAAAUGCAACAUGGAGGCAGGCAAAUGAAAAGAAUCGAGUCACGAGAGCAUAAAAUGUGAUGCGUUAGAGCUAGAUUAUAUAUCUCCACCGUAAUACAGGUAUACAACGAGAAAUUAUUGGAUGAACUAAAUUCACACAGAUCAAACCAGUUGCAGAAGUUCACUGCACAACCGCUAAUAAUCAAGGAUUCAUAACAUUAAUUCACUAUUUUGAUUUACAUAAUGUUUACGAGUUUUAUGAAUAAAAAGAUUCAUCAUAAACAUUUGUUCAACGAAGAUUCCACCCUUUAGACAUCCCUCGUCACUAUACAAAAAUUUCCUAUAUAUGUAGCCCACUUAAUUUGUUCAAUUGCUGUCCAUUCAAAAAGAUAAUUUAGAAGAAAAUUAUAAAAAAAACAAAAACAAAAAAAACCAUGCGAAGAAAUAUUAUGACAAUCAAUAAUGUUUUAUAAAAAAAUUAUAAAAAUAAAUUCUCAAUCAACUCAAUAUAAAAAUAAAAAAAUUUGGCAAAUAUAAUUUUAAAAAAUAAAAUAGAAAAAUUAUGUGAAAAAACACCGUAGCAAUCCACAGUAUUUUAAAGGAAAAAAAUUACAAAGCAAAAUUUUUAACUAACUCAAUAUUUAAAAAGUAAAAUCAACAAAGAUAAUUCAAAAAAAAAUGAAAAAAAAAGAAAAAAAAGGAAAGUUGGAAAGAGAAAAAAGGAAAGUAAUUUUGGAAAAAAAGGAAACAUUAAACAAAAAAAAAAGGAAAAAGGGAAAGUUGGGAAAAAAAUGCAAAAGAAAAAAAACAGAAAAAGUUAAAAAGAGAGAGAGAGCAAUGCAUUGUGGAUUACUAUUGUAAUCCACAGUUGGGUGUGAGGGAACAGUGAUUUCCUCACACCCUUUAGUUUUAUGUAUAGUAAUUACAAUUAUUAAUCAGCUUAAUAUUUAAAAAAUAAAAUUAGUAAAGACAAUUUUAGGGAAAAACAUAACAAAACAGAAAAAAAACCUUGUGGGUAAAAACACUGUAGCAAUCCACAGUAAUUUGCGAGGAAACUUACAGUGCUUUCUCCACAUAUUGUAAAUGUAAUUUUUAACCAACUCAAUAUUAAAAAAUAAAAUAAAAUAAAAGAUAAUUUCAAAGAAAAUCAUAAAAAAAACAAAAAAAAACCAUUCGAAUAAAUACUGUAGUAAUCAACAAUGUUUUAAAGAAAAAAAAUUACAAAACUUAAUUCUUAAUCAGCUCAAUAUAAAAAAAAUCAACAAAUAUAAUUUUGAAAAAUACAAAAAUAAAAUAUAAAAAUUAUGUGGGAAAAUACUAUAGCAAUCCACAGUAUUUUAAAGGAAAAAAAAUUAUAAAUGAAAAUUUUUAACUAGCUCAAUAUUUAAAAAGUAAAAUCAACAAAGAUAAUCUUGAAAAAAAAAAUGAAAACAAAGGAAAAGUUUGAAAAAAAAAAUGAAAACGUGCAAAAAAAAAUGAAAAAGUGAAAAAAAAAAUAUACUGUAGAUUACUAUUGUAAUUUUCAGUGCAUUGGGUGUGGGGGAACAGUGAUUUCCCCACACCCUUUAGUUUUAUGUAUAUAAAAAAAUAGACAAAUAUAAUUUUAAAAAAUAAAAAAAAUAAAAUAGAAAAAUUAUGUAGAAAAAUACCGUAGCAAUUCAUAGUAUUUAAAAAAAAAUACAAAAUAAAAUUUUUAAUCAGCUCAAUAUUUGAAAAGUAAAAUCAAUAAAAGUAAUUUUGGAAAAAAAAAUUAAAUGAAAAAAAAGAAAAAAGAGGAAAGUUGGAAAAAAAAAGGGAAAGUUUGAAAAAAAAAGAAGAAAAGUUGCUAAAAAAAAAGUAAAAAUAAAAAAGAAAGAAAUGCAUCAUGGAUUAUUUUGUAAUCUACAGUAUAUUAAAUGUGCGGAAACAAUGAUUUCCCGUACCUUUUAAUUAUAUGUAUAAUAAUACAUCAGUCUUUUUUAUUAUUAUUGAUGAAUUCGAUUCAUCAUUUUACAAAUCAUUUGUGUACUAUUUUUCUUAAUUAUUAUUUUAGUCAGAGAGAAUGAAACAUCCCAUCAAUUCACUUGCGCGAGCAAGAUAGAAAAGACACUAUUCUAAAGUAUUGUAAGCGUACAUAAAGAUGGGUCCCUCAAAUUCACCUUCAAAGGAAUAUAUUCAUUUUAGAGAGUAUAUUCAUCUUAAAGAUGCUUGAAAUUCAAGAUAGCAUGCCCUUAAAAUCAAGCCAACCAUUUUCCCACUGGAUUAGAGGCUUCCAAUAUAAUGAACUAAAAGUUAGACAUUAGCUUUGCUUGGUUAUAUUAUAAAGGUACAAAUAGUGAGCAAGCUAAUGUGUUAGUCCAAAAGGCUAGGAAUCUUCAAAUCUAAAUGAAAUGUCAUCUUCCACAUAUGGAUAGAGAGAAGCCAAAAUGCAAAGCAAUUUCAUGGUAAUUAAUUAUUGCCAAGUAUGGUGGGGGGCUGGCCAUUAUGGCCAUACCACCUGCACUUCAAUGUUGACCCAAACCAGCUUGUUUUCCACUUGGUUUACAUGCAUUGGCUUGAUUUGGACGGUUAAUUUGGGACCUCAAUCGACAACUGGUAUUCAAUUAGAUGGACCAAAUCGUAUAGAUGUGAUAGUUCUAUAUAUGUGUAACAUAUAAAUCGUAUGGCUUCCAGAAAGAAAGAAGGAAAAAAAAAAAAACAUUUGAGAUUUUAACUCUUCAUGGAUAUGAACUUGAAGAAACUCUUCAUAGAAACACAAGUCUUUGAGCGUGAGAUUGUUUUUUUGGUGGGAGAGGAAUCUUCCUUUGAUUGUCAAAGACGAAAGCAUUUAUUCCCAUUUGUUAGAUUUCAGUUAAUAGCUUCCAUUUCCCUUUGUUAGAUCUCUCAAGAGUCAAGACUUGCUUUCCAUACGAGGGAACGCCUUUGUUUUAAAAUACUGAUCGAGUGAUUGACUUUGCCACGAGUUGGAUCGACGUUUCAAAUUUUUGGAGUCUAAUUGCUUGUUACUAAAACCCAGUUAACAACAACAAAUCCUGUAUAUUUGGUUUUGAAUAUGUUUGAACAUGGACUGCCUUUUGUUGAUGAUCAUCUUAAUUAUUUACGAGUGAUGAAAUCUUCAAUUCAUAUCGAGACCUGACAAAAAUAAUCUUAUCAGAUGAGAGUGAGUGUGAAAGUUUUUCUCAAAUUUUUAUUUUUUUUUAGUUUUGCUUAUUACAUUGAUUUUUCUUCCAACACUUCCAAUUAUUAAUCUCAGACAUGUAAAUUUUUUACAUAUUGCAGAGAACGAAUCAUUUUAAUAAGACAGCAAAGUUUGAGUCUUUGAAUCAUUGGCAUUGGAAGGGAUGGUAGGAGGGGAAGUUGCUGGUAUCUGUUUCUCUGAUUCUACUCAUUGGGUUGCCCUGCUGGACAACAUUUCUGCUGGUGUCUUUAGAAGACAAACUUAUGCCAAGAAAGAGAGAGAGAGUUUCUCAAGUUGGAAAUGCAGAGUGUUUAACUCAGAGUCCUGUCUUGAACUCUGAGGCUGAGAAACAUCAGUUGGUUUCUUCAAUCUGGUACUACAUAUUCGACUUCCUAUCACUGAAGAAUUUUGGAUGGUUAGAUAUCGGGAGGAAGGUUUAUACUCGGGAGGAUGUAUUACAUAUUCGACUUCCUAUCACUGAAAAGUUCUCUGCGAUGAUUCUGAUAAAGCAGGGUCACGAUGGGGAUGCGUUUGAAGAGGGAUGAUAAUAAGAAAUACAAUUUCUUCUGUGUCCUAGCUGCAUAAUCCUCGUCCAUUCCAUUGAAGAAACAAGCAAUAACAAGGAAUAAGUUCUGAUAAUCAUCAUGAGGAGAGUUGUAACUUUUUGCAAGAACCUUUUGAACUUAACAAUUUGGAAUCACUUCCGUUUCAUGUAAUGCGCUUUCCCAUACUUUUCUACUUUCACUAAAUAAUGAAGAACCAAUAGCACAAAGGGCUAAUGGAAGUCCAUUACAAUGAUGUACUAUUCUCCAAGAUUCCUCCAUAAAAUCUUCAACUGGGUAAGCUUGUCCACAGGCAUGCCAACUCAAAAGAUUAAGUGAUUUUUUGUUAUCUAGAGGUUCAUCUUUGCACUUGACACACUCACCAUCAGCUACAACCAAAGCCUUAUUUCUAGUUCUUACAAUGAUUUACUUCCUUGGCGAAGCCAAUUUCGCGUGCCAACAAUUGCAUUGAAGUGGUCCCAUUUGUCCACAUCAUCAAGAACAAUAAGAUUUCUUCUGCAACAUAACGCAUCCUUAAUAUAAUCCCUUCAUCAACAUCAUGUAUGUCAUCAACAUUGUUUAAGAUAUCUGAAAGAAGUUGCCUCUGUAGUCAAACUACACCAUUGGAUUCUUUUGACUAUUCUCUAACAUUUGAUGGAAAGAUCCUACCUUCAAACUUAUGAAACUGCUGGUUAUAAACACUCUUUGCUAUGGUUGUCUUCCCUACUCCACCAAUCCCAUAGAGUAUAUCAAAGGCAGAACUGUGGGAGCCAUAUUCUUCCAACCAUAAGUUGAUAAGUUUUACUAGAGGAUCUCUUCCGAUGAAAUGAAGGGGGAUAUGAAAUAUUUUACGAUCCAAUUUCUUUGAGACCUUGUCGACAAUAGAUUAGACAAGUUGUGCCUCAUGCCUGCAUCAAAAAGAAAAAUACAAUAUAUGAUAAUUAGUAAGUCUCUCUAUAAAGUUUCAAAAUCUUAGUAUCAUGUAGAAAUCGUUGCAUUUUUCAAGUAAUUAAGAACGAAAAUAUCAGAAAAUGAGAAAAAAAAGUUUCUUUUAUUUUUGUUUUCUUUAAUGUUCACUAAGUUGGGAGUGGUACGGUUUUUUCUAAAUUGAAGAUGUCGCACGUGUGCGGCGUCACGAUGAAAACAUCCACCCUCAAGAUUUUAUCUAAUGUUGCAAAAUAUAGGGAGACAAGGAAUUCUUAUCUUUUAUUAGUGGAAAAAUGAAGUGGGAGUCGCCACCUAAUACUUUGGUCACAAGAAAUUAUCGUAUUUUCUAAUUGUUGGUCCGUCUAUGGUUUAAGAAAAGUCCUCUUCGGUAAAAAGAUCCUUAUCUUAUCGGGUAAAAUCUAACCGCUUUAACGUCAAAAAAAGAAUUUAAUAUCCUGAAUACGUCUUACGUAUAAGAUCAUUACCCUAGAUAUUAAAAGAAAACAAAAUAUUUUUUUGAAGUUUUUUUGAAAUAUUGGCCUAGUUCUCGCGAUUUUAAUAAACUGGUUAUUAAAGCCAAAAUACAUGCUAAUACAUAUUUUUGAAGUUUUCUUUGUUAUAUGAAAGUACAAUAUGAUUUUUUUUUAGAGACUUGGUCGUAUGCAUGAAAACAAAAUAUUUUUUAUGUUUUGCCGAAGACCGGGUAUUUUAAUAUCGAAUUUGUAUCUUUACAGUAUAAAAAUACAAACCGAUAUUAAUUAAAAUGCAAUAAUUUUUUUUACAGAAAAUCACAAAUUUUUUGAAAAAAAAAAAUUUAUUAUUUUUUUAAGACUGGAACUAGCCCGAGUUAAGCCAAUGACCCGGCUGCUUGCUCAACGGCUGUUCAAGUGAAUUAUAAUUCACUUGCUCAGUGAACUUGAACAGUAAAGAGCAACAAUUACUGUUCAAGUGAAUAUUCACUUGAACAGUAAAAGAUAACAAUGAAAAAAAGAAAAUGCAUGCAGUGACAGAAACAAUGCAAUGUGAAGAGAAAUGUGUGAGGCUUACCUAGUAUCUGAAAUAGAUGAAGACGAUUGCAAUGAAACUGCUGCGCAGGAUCAGAGGUGACUGAUUUUGGGGACGAUGAAGACGAUCAACGCUGGGUCUUUUUUCUUCUGGUUUUUCUCUGCCUUUUUUGAAAUGAUGAAGCCCCUGUGUUCUUCUCCUCUCCGUCUUUUCCCUUCCCUUUUCUUUCUGUUUUUCUCCCCUGUAUUCCCCUCUCAGCGGUUCUUGGCGUGGCUGCUGGGAUGAAGAAGAUGAUGAGCUGACGAUGGCGUUGGCAGUGCUGGUGCAGUUGUGAUGGAGAAUGGCAGUGGCUAGUUUCUGGAAGAAUUGAAGAUGAUGAAAAUUCUGGUCUUGCGUUCUUUUUAUUAUUCUGGACUUUCUCUCUGGGUUUCUUCCUUUGCUUCUGUUUCUUUGGUUUUAUUCCCUUGCCUCUGGGACAGCAACGAUGGAGGCUGGUUGCUACUGGUUUUUUUUCUUGCUUCUGUUCGUCUGCUCCUCUGUUAUCGUCUCCCUAUGCUUCCCAGUUCUCCUUCCUGUCUCCCUCUUUUCUUUUUAUUCUCCCUGUUCUCUUUCUCUCCCUCUCUGUCUCGUCUUUCUCCUUUCCGUUAUCCCCCUCUCUCUGUUUUUCUCCUGUCCGUUGUCCUCUCUGGUCUUUUUUUUUUUCUGUCUUUCCUCCUCCUUUUCAUCGUCUUUCUCUGGCUUUUAUUGUUGGUGGGAGAAACCACUGGUGGUGGCUUUGAAACACUCAGAGGGGAUAAAACACAAAGUUUUAUUACAAAAUCCGAAGCUUAUAAUUAACACAAAAACUCACAAUACACACCCUCUCUUUCUCUCUUUCUCUUUCUAGUGUUUCUCUCAAUUAUCUCCACACAAUUUAACAGAAGUUGGGCACUCUAUUUAUACACGAAAUCAGAAUACAAAAAUUCAAACUUUCCAAGUGUGAAGGUGGGUGGCUGGUGGCUGGCGGUUGCGGCUGGUCGGUGGGUGGUUGCCUUCCUUGACCUUCUGGAUGUUGAGUUUAAUAUUCAACAAAUCUCCCCUUUAAACUCAAUCGAGGGAUAUCAUGCCAAGCAUGAACUUUAAUCAAAUAAAUUCUUCUCCUUUUAAUGGCUUGGUGAAGAUGUCCGCAACUUGAUCAUUUGUGUUGCAAGAUAUCAGUUGGACUUCUUCAUUCUUCAUGUGUUCCCGGAUAAAGUGAUGACGUGUAUCAAUAUGUUUGCUCCUUUCAUGAUACACUGGAUUCUUUGCCAAUGCGAUUGCUGAUCGAUUGUCAAUAUAAAUCUCCGUAGGAUUUUCUUGAGGAAAUCCCAAAAACUUCAGCAUAUUCCUUAACCAUAUUGAGUGACAUACGGCUGAGUUGGCAGCAACAUACUCAGCUUCACAGCUUGAUAAUGUUACAAUCGAUUGCUUCUUGGAUGACCAUGUGAAAGAUGUGUCUCCCAUGAAAAAGACAAACCCUGUUGUGCUUUUCCUUUCAUCCAAAUCUCUACCCCAAUCACUAUCCGAGUAGCCUACAAGAUUAAAGUCUUUACUUGAGGUAUAAAACAUACCUUCAUUCAUUGUGCCUUUGAUGUAGCGAAGAAUUCUCUUGGCUGCAUUCAAAUGAGACUGGUCUGGUGUCUCCAUGUAUCUGCUGAUGAGUCCGACUCCGUAGAGUAUAUCCGGUCUGGUACAUGUCAAGUACCUUAAGCUUCCUACUAAGCUUUUGAAGUAAGUUGGAUCAACAUUUCCAACCUUACUCUUCCUCAAUUCCACUCCAUUCUCAACUGGAGUUGAUACCGGAUUGCAGCUUUCCAUCUUGAACCUUUCAAGAAUAUCUUUGGCGUAACCGCUUUGGGAUACAAAAAUCCCUUCUUCCUUCUGCGUUACUUCUAAGCCAAGAAAAUGUGACAUUAGACCAAUGUCAGUCAUUUCAAACUCCUGUACCAUGCUUCGUUUGAAGUCUUCAAACAUGGUAGGGUUGUUGCCGGUGAAUAUCAAAUCAUCAACAUACAGGCACGCAAAUAAGAUGCUGCCAUCUGCUCCUUUCUUCACAUAUAUUGCGUGUUCAUAUGGACAUUUUUCAAAUCCAUUAUCUUGAAAAUACCUGUCAAUUCUGGUAUUCCAAGCACGCGGAGCUUGCUUCAAACCAUAGAGAGCCUUCUUCAACUUGUAUACUUUGCCUUCAUUUUCAGCAUCAAUGUAUCCAAGUGGUUGUUCAACAUAGAUCUCUUCUUCUAGGAAGCCAUUCAGAAAUGCUGACUUCACAUCGAGUUGAUAGAUCUUCCAUCUAUGUUGUGCAGCUAGUGAGAUCAUCAGUCUGAUUGUCUCUAGCCGGGCUACUGGAGCAAAUACUUCUCCAUAGUCAAUGCCUUCUCUCUGUUUGUAGCCUUUAGCCACUAAUCUGGCUUUGUAUCUUUGCACUUCUCCUUUGGCGUUCUUCUUCGUCUUGUAGACCCAUUUGACACCUAUUGCUUUCUUGUUUUCUGGUAGAUAAGUCAGCUUCCAGGUAUCAUUCUUCUCAAUGGCAUGUAUUUCUUCAUCCAUUGCUUCUAUCCAUUUCUCUUCUGUGAUAGCUUCAUCGAAGCUUAGUGGGUCACUAUCUGCAAAGAAACAAAACAGAGUUGUAUCUUCCAUGACCUGAGUGGUAUCGUACAACUCUUCAAGAUUCCUCAUCCUUCUUGGUCCUUCUGAUGAGGAUGUGUGGUGGUGUUGAUGAUGAUGCUCCUGGUGUGUUCCUCCUGUUGAAUACAGGGAAACUGUGCCGGACUUUGUGGUUCAGCUGCUGGCACAAUCGGUUCUUCGACAAGUACUGUUGGUACUUCUUCACCUUCAAGGAUCAAAUCAGUGUUGAUCCAUUGACUGCUUCUUGAUCACCAUUCCAUGCCCAAGAUUUAUCUUCUUCAAAGAUAACAUCUCUACUCGUAAUCACCUUCUUCGUGAUGGGAUUAUACAGCCUGUAUCCCAUCCUUCUUUCACCAUAUCCGACAAAGAUGCAUUUCUCGCUCUUAUCAUCGAGCUUUCUCCUUCUUGCAUCUGGGAUCUUUGCAUAUGCCACACAACCAAAGACUCGUAGAUGAGUAACACUUGGUUUGUGACCACUCCAUGCUUCUUCUGGAUGACUCCUUGCAAACUUCUGGUUGGGCAGCGAUUCAGUAGAUACACUGCACAUGAUACAGCUUCAGCCCAGUAUUGCUUGGGCAACUUCUUUGCUUUGAGCAAACUUCUGGCCAUGUCAAGAAUCGUGCGAUUCUUCCUUUCUGCUACACCAUUCAGCUGUGGUGUAUAAGCUGGUGUCGUCUGAUGUCUGAUGCCUUGUUGUGUACAAUAGGCUUCAAAGUCAUUUGCUGUAUAUUCUCCACCUUGAUCAGAUCACGGUUCUGAUCGUAACCAGUUUGCUUCUCCACAAUUGCUUUAAAAUCUUUAAAACAAUUGAAUACUUCUGACUUCCUCUUCAGAAAGUAUAUCCACGUCUUUCUACUAAAAUCAUCAGUAAAAGUGAGGAAGUACCUAUUUUGUCCAGUCGACAUAGGCGUAAUUGGGCCACACACAUCUGUGUGUACUAACUCCAGUGGCCUCUUUGCUCUCCAGUUGACUUCUUUGGCAAAACUGGAUCUGUGAUGUUUGCUGAGGACACAACUCUCACAGACUUCAUCUGGAUGAUCAAUGUGAGGCAAACCUUUGACCAUCUUCUUGCUUGCUAGCAUCUUCAGACUUGUGAAAUUCAGAUGUCCAAGCCUCAGGUGCCAAAGCCAUUCUUCACUGUUGGUGAUGGCACUCAAACACCUUUGCAUCAUACUGGAUGUUCAAAGGAAACAUCUUGUUCUUGGACAUUUUCACAUAGGCCAUUAAUCUCCAAUUGUUGUCUCUAAUUGUCAGAUGACAAUUCUUCGAGUAAAAAGUAUAUCCUCUCUCCAAAAGUUGACCUAAGCUGAUCAGGUUCUGCUUUAUGGCUGGGACAUAAUACACAUCGGCGAUGUAGCUGGAAUCGUCAUUCUUCAACUUGACUGGGAUGUUGCCUUUACCUUUGAAUGGAACCUUUGUGGUAUCUCCAAAAGUAACUAGACCUUGCUUGGUCUCAUCUAGAUCACCAAAUAACUCUCGGUAGCCGCACAUGUGAUUGCUGGCUCCAGUAUCUAGAUACCAUAUAUCUCCUUGUUUCUCAUCAAGUCCUUGUUGGACAAGAAAUGCAGCUUCUUCUCUGUCAUCCUUCUCUACAUAGUUGGCUUGCUCACGUAUCUCCAACGGAGCUUUCCUGCAUUCAGUGCUAUAGUGCCCAAAUUGAUUGCAGCUAUAACAUUUGAUAUUCCUCUUGUCACGGUUAUUGUAACCGCCUCCUCUUCCUCUAGGAGUGAAUGCUUGUUGGCCUCGGCCUCCUCUGGUGGUGUUUCUACCACCUCUUCCUCUGAAGCUUGUAUUCCAAGAUCUUCCUCUUGUUGAACCUCUUCCUUGGAAUCUCUAGAAUCCUCCUCUGGAUUGUUGACUUCCUGCUUGAGUGGUGUAGCCACUUGAUGAAGUCUCCCCUUGCUCAUAUCUGUCCUUGAAGACAGCUUUGCUUGUAAGGCAUGCUCAAUGGCCUUAUCUUCAUUUCGCUUUACAAUCUUCUGCUCAUGAGCUUGCAAAGAACUCAUAAGCUCAUCACUGUCAACUUGUCCACUUCCUUGGACUCUUCAAUUGCGACAACAAAUUCAAAUUUUGGAUCUAUGGAUCUCAAAAUUUUCUCAAUAAUUCGAGAAUCGAUGAUGGCUUCUCCAUUUCUCCUCAUCUGGUUGACUAUCACCAUAAUCCUUGUGUGAUAAUCAGAAAUAGACUCGAGGACUUCAUUCAAUAAUUCGAAUUCUCCUCUCAAAGAUUGAAGACGAAUCUUCUUGAUUCUGUCAGCACCUUUGUAUUUCUGUUGGAGAGCCUCCCAUAUAUCAUGUGUUUCAGCGGAAGCUAUUAUCUCGAAUGUAUCUUCAUCAAGACCUUGAUAGAUGAUGGUCUUUGCUUUGUUGUCCUUCUUUCUGUUGACUUUAAGGGCUUGCUUCUGUGCCUCUUGUAAAGCAUCUUCUCUUUCUUUGGACUCUGGUUCAUCAUAACCAGUUUGUACAAUAUCCAAACACUCUUGUGACCCAAGGAAUGCCUUCAAUCUGAUGCACCAACUAUCAUAGUUGUCUUUGGUCAGCUUCGGGAUGAGUGUAUGUGUACCUUUUGUAGUCAUUUUUCUCUUGUAAUGACUAUAUCACAUUUCUGGGAGCCUAAUUUGGCCAAACGGACACUGUAGAUCGAUCCAGAAUGGUCCAAAUAGUAGGGAACCGGUCUGACUUUGUAUAAAUCAGGUCAGAAAAUGGGUGAAUCGGUCAAAAAACCAAUUCUGUACGGCGGGCGGUUCGCUGGGUUGAACCGGGAAUAUUCGGGGAAUAUUCUGGGGAAUAUUCUCUCGGCGCGCUGGCGGCUCGGCUCGGCGCGGUGUACGGCGCAACUUGUGGCUCGGCUGGACUAGGACUCGGCUUACACGGCUCAGCUCGGCUUGAAUAUGGCGCGCGUGGACGUCAGUCGCCGUCUACCUCUGGGCGCGUGGGCUGCGCGUGGGAGAAGAAUGCAGAAUCUUCAGGCGGCGCGUGUGAGCUACCUCCGGCUCCGAUCAGGAUGAUUCUUGCGACAGUGAGUUCGUCUUGAUGAGCUCUACACUGUGGAAUGAUCAAAACUUGUUUUGGACAACUUUGAAAAUUCAGAUAUACCCCAAAACUCUUCUGUUUUCUAACGAACGGGGCUCUGAUACCAAUUGUUGGUGGGAGUAACCACUGGUGGUGGCUUUGAAACAUUUAGAGGGGAUAAAACACAAGGUUUUAUUACAAAAUCCGAAGCUUACAAUUAACACAAAAACUUAACACAAUACACGCCCUCUCUUUUUCUUUCUCUUUCUAGUGUUCCUCUCAAUUCUCUCCACACAAUUUAACAGAAGCUGGGCACUCUAUUUAUACACGAAAUCAGAAUACAAAAAUUCAAACUUUCCAAGUGUGAAGGCAGCUGGCGGCCGGUGGUGUGAAGGCGGCUGGCGGCUGCGGCUGGUCUGUGGGUGGUUGCCUUCCUUGACCUUCUAGAUGUUGAGUUUAAUAGUCAACAUUUAUAAGCCAAAGAAUGCCAUGAAACAUUCCCUAUAAUUGAAGCAAUCUGCUGUUUUUGUCGCUGAAAUGGCUCCACUGUCUACUGAAACGGCUAUGAUGAAAGGUGAUGAAAUAGUGCUUUGAAACGGCGUCGUCUUCCUAUCAAAAUGUAUAUUUCUGAUUUGGUCCUUGGCUGUUUUGACAAUUUUCUAAUCAAGCCCCCAGAUGAAUUGUAAUUGGAUCCCUUGAUUUUAGUUCCUUUUCCAGUUUAGUCCUUGGUUUCAAAUUGUUUCAAUUAAGUCCCUAAUUGGCCAUCAAACUUCAAUAAUUGGACCCCAUAACUUUAAUUACUUCCAAUAAAAGCCUAAAUUGACUUUAAAAAAAUCAAUUAUCUUGCAAUUAAACCCUCUAUAAAUUUAAUUAAACCUUGGAUAAAAUUUAAUUGAGUCCAUAAACAUCUUAUUUUGAACUUUUCUUUCUCAAUUUGAAUAUUUUUUAGUCAAUAGGGCUCUCAUCAGUAGAAAAUAUAACAUAAAAUUUCAAUUCUUGUAUUUCUGAAUCUCCUCAACCAAUUCCUAGCCAUUUUAUGAGUGUUUCAACAUCCUUUUCUUACUCCUGUUAUUAUUAAUUUUUUAUUCCUUCUUAAUAUAAUUUUUUUUUGUAUUUUUUCAGUUUUUGUAUGAGAACCCAAAAAUGAAUAACAAUAAAAGAGGUACUAUCAGUCAUUGUCUAAAUGCUUUCCUACAAACCUGAAAAAAUUAAGAGUUCACUACCAGCAUUCUAGUCUUAUGCUAUUUGUAAUUUCAUUCAGAAAUACAACUUACCUAACUCUGCAAUUUUCUUCAAAGCAAUCCUCCACCAAUUCACUCGCUCCAUCUCCUACUUGAAACGCUUUUAAUGAUCCAAUAAUGCUAUAGCGACUUCAGAUGGAUCCACAUCAUAGAAUACUAGCAAAACUAUGCAGUCAUUCCUCUUACACUCCAUGAUCAUUACAAGUUCAUCGAAGCACCACCUCGACCAAGCAUAAUUCAACAAUUAUUUUUCUCAUUGUUAUUUAUUUUGUUAUUUAUUAUUUUUUAAUUAAUUAAUUUUUCAAUUUUAUUUCUCAUCAUUUUAUUGAUGGGGGAUUUGAUUUUGUUAUUUUUGUAGGUUUAUCUUCUAUGAGGUUGGUUACAGUCUCAUAAUUUAGACUACAAGUUUUGAAAAUUAGGUUGAGUUCAUUUUAUUUUUUUAGGUCAUUUUUAAAAAAUUGAUAUUUUUUUUAAAUCAUCUUUCAACAUUGGGUUGGUUAGGGGUUCAAUUUCAUGAAUUGUUUUUUAUAUUAUUUCAAUCUCAUGUCUUGAGUCGUAAUUUAGUGGGUUAACACAUGUCCUUUUGUUUUUCUAUUGUUUUUUUAGAUUGGAUUGUUUUUCUCGGUUUUGCCCUUCAACAUUACAUCAUUUGAGAUUUGAGCUUUGUUGUUUUAUUCAUUUUUUCCUACAAUGUUAUCCUUGUCUCAGGAUUAGGUUAUGUAUUUGGCUAACUGACUUGGGUGGAUUAGUCAAGUCAAUUUUUUUUGUUUUUUUUUUAAUUUGAUUUGAUUUUUAAUUAUGUCCUUUAACAUUUGAUUGCUUAGAUUUGAGAUUCAUAUUUUUUUUUAUAAGGUUGUCACACUCUCAUUUGAUUUUUUUGCUUCAUUUUCAAAUAUUAUAAGGAUAUAUUUCUGUAAUAUUGACAAGCGUUUUUUUUUUAGUUGAUCAUUGUGAAUUUUUUUUAGUUCGAUUUGUUUAUUGUUGUUGUCUAUUUUUUUAAUUAUAUUAUUAAAUUAAUUAUAUUUAUUCAACUAAGGCAACUUAACAACCUACGUCUUUAAUUAUUUUUAUUUAAAAAAUAACACUAUCAUCACCUCAACAUCUUUUUUAAAUUGAAAAAAACUUUGCCCUACUAGUAAUACAGUUCAGGUAAAUAAUCUAGUUACAGCUAAUCACGUGGCCACAAAGCCCCAUUGGGAUUCAUAUUCCAUAAGAUUGCUCCAAUAUUAAAGAACUCUAAAAGGUAUGGGGAAAGCACUGCAGCUUCCCCACGCCUUUUAAUUAUACUUAUAUAUAAUAAUAAUAAUUAUUAUAAUAUAUAUUAGUUUUCUUUUUCAUUAUUUUUCUGUAUUUUUUUUUGUUUUUAUGCCUUUAUGGGUUUUUUUGAGCUUAUUUCUUAGUUUUUUUUUCCUUUAAAUUUUGUUUUUUAUUUAAUUUAGUUUGUUAAUUCAUCCCGAGUUUGAUGAGUUAACCUGAUUUGACGAGUUAACUAGAAUUUUUUUUUCUUUUUUUCUUUUUUUCUUUUUAAUUAAUUUUUUCAUUUAGUUUAGUUUGUUAAUGUUAAAUUUCUUUCUAUUUAAUUAUCAGACUUUCAUGACACGUAUUCCAAACUUGACAGGUUAACUCGUCAAUUUUUUUUUGUAUUUAGUUAUUAAACUUUCAUUACGCGAAUCUAAGGUAUGACAGGUUAUCCUGGUUUGAAAGGUUAACCCAGUUAAUUUAGAUUUUUUUUUCUUUUUCUUCAUGUUGGUUUUUUUUCUUUGUUUUUUUCUUUUUAAUUAAUCUAUUUAAUUUUCACACUUUUAUGACACGACCUCGCAACUAGACCCACAUUCAAGGCUCUUGGGCGUAGGAAAUUCACUGUAGCAGCUUUGUUUUGUUUUUUUUUUGUUACAUUUUUUUUUCUUUUUUUUACCCAAAAUUGACUUCUUUGUCUUUGUUUUUUUCUUUUUUUUUUCUUUUUUUUCAAAAUUAUCUUUACUAAUGUUUUUAAAUAUUGAGCUGUUUGAAAAUUUAACUAUGUAGUUUUUUUCUUUAAAACAUUGUGGAUUGCUAUAAUAUUCUCAUACAUUGUUUUUUUUUCUUUUUAUGAUUUAUUUAUUUUUUUUUCAAAAUGGUCUUAGUAGAUUUUAUUUUUUUAUAUAUAUAUUAAGUUGGUUGAGAAUUUAGCUUUGUAGUUUUUUUUUUAAAUCAUAUGGAUUGCUACAGUGUUUCUCCUAUAUAGUUUUUGUUUUGCUAUAGUGUUUCCCCACAUAUUUUUUAAAAAAAUUAUAUUUAUCGAAUUUAUUUUUUCAAUAUUGAGCUGAAUGAUAAUCUAGCUUUAGCUUUCCCCACAUUUCUUUUCUUUUUUUUUUCUUUUUUUCCAAAAUUUUCAAUUUUUACAAAAAAAAAUUUUCAGAAUUAUUUUUGUUGAUUUUAUUUUUUUACUAUUGAGCUGGUUGAAAAUUUAGUUUUUUUGUUUAUUUAUUUAAAACAUUGUAGCUUUCCCCACGUGUUUUUUUUUCGCUUUUGUUUUCUUUUUUUUUACAUGUUUUUUUUCAUUUAUUUUACCCAAAAUUGACUUUUUUUAUAAAAAAAAAAGUCUUUGUCGUUUUUUUUAUAUUGAUCUGGUUGAAAACUUAGUUUUGUAGCUUUUUUCAAAAAAAAAAAACACUAUGGAUUACUACAAUAUUAGCUUCUUUUUUUUCUUUUUAAUUUUUUUUGUUUGAUUUAGUUUGUUAAUGUUAAUUUUUUUUUAUUUAGUUAUCAGAUUUUCAUGAUACGGAUCUCGGGUUUGAUGGGUUGACCUAAUUUGACGAGUUAUUUUUUUUUCAUUUAGUUUAGUUUGUUAAAAUUAAUUUUCUUUCUAUUUAAUUAUUAGACUUUCAUACUUUCAUGACACGUAUCCUGGGCUUGACGGGUUAACUUGGUUUGAUAGGUUAACCCAGUUAAUUCUGGGUAAACCUGUCAUUUUUUUUCUAUUUAGUUAUCAAACUUUCAUGACGUGAAUCCCAGGUUUUAUGGGAUAACCUGGUUUAAAGGAUUAACCUAAUUAAUUCAUUUUUUUUAUUUUUCUUCAUUAAUUUUUUCCUUCCUAUUGAUUUUUUUUCUUUGUUUUUUUUUUAAUUAGUCUAUUUAAUUAUCACAUUUUUAUGACACAACUUUAUAGCCAGACCCACAUCCAAUAUUCUUGAGUCCGGUGUUGCAGUCAGGCUCACUUAAACUUGGGUCAUGCAAGUUUAAUUUUAUUAUUAAUAUUAUAAAUAUUACUUUUAGGUCAGGCGUUGCAGCCAAAUCUAAGAUUCUUAGGUAUGACCUUGCAAAAAAAUCCAAGAUUUUUAAUUUUUUUUUUUUAAUAUUUUUAUAAAAAAAAAUGAUCCACGGCAUCGCGCGGGUCAUUUGUCUAGUUCAUUGGAUGGUGUGUAUGGUAGGCUAGACAUGUGAAGCCCAUUAAUUGAUUCUGUCCAUAUUAAAUUGAGUCACUGAGUCACAAAUCAAAUUGAUUUGACUGUUGGGCUCUAAGGACACUGAGUCACAAAUCAAAUUGGCCUGCUUCAUACAAAAAAAUGAUGCAAAUUCAUAGCUGUACACUGAGUGCCAAAUUAUUUUAGGUUUUAAAAAGCUUUCAAUAUAACACCAAAUCUAAAACAAAUUCAACUCAGCCCAUCAUUAUUUUCACAUUUAAUUUCUUUUCAAAAAAACACAUAAUAAUUUCGUUAUCAAAAUCAUAACGGUCACUGCAAUAAUAAUUUCUAAAAAUAUGAGAAGCUAUUUCUGCUUUAGCUGCUACAUGUACAUCAUCACUAGAGUUUGAUGAGCUUCUAUCAUCAUCAGUUCCUUCCUCUUCGUGCAGCAUUCGUACACCAACCCUCUUUAUUUGAAAAACCAGAUCAUCUGUAAACACUGAAACACUGAAUUCAUCACCGUUAUCAAACGCCGGAUCAUUGGACCCAAAUUUCCAAUAGCUUAGCCAUAACAAUUCAGAUUUUUCAGCAGAAAUUCUAUCAGAAAAAUGGAGGGGUAAAAAACCCAGACUAGUCUACCCUUGGUAUUGUUCCUGAUUUCAAGAUAAACAUGAAGAUACGGAUUGGAUACUGGCGUAGCAGAAAACCAUGUGAAUAGAUUAAAGCCACAUAUCCGGUGUGUAGCAGGUGAGGAUAUUUUGAAUGACAUGUGCUCUUCAAACUCUUUCUGAAUUAGCCCUUCCUCCACAUAGAACUCCAACAUCUCAUUUUCAUCAUAUUCAAGGACAACAUUGAAUUUUCAUCAUAUUCAAGGACAACAUUAAAUUGAUUUAAGGUAAUUCAAAUUAACUUAUCUAAUGUUUUGCAGUGCUGGCUAAAAUGUUUUUUUGUCUAAAUUUUGAUUUUUUUAGUGUUUUUUGAUUCAUUUUAAUGUAUUAAUAUAAAAAAUAAUUUUUGGAUUAACCUUUUGGAUUAACUCUAGCUUAAUCAAAUCUUGGAUGUGAACUAAUUGAUCACAAUCACGAGCUAUGGUAAAAGGGAUCAGAUUUGCAAUUCUUUGCAGCGAAUAACAAUAGGACACGUCUAACCCAACCGAAUUGAAUGGAAGCUCCAGGAGCGUUUGAAGCAUUUUGCAUUCCGCUAAUGAAAGGUAAUUGAGUGUACCAAUGUCCUUAAUGCUUGGUGGAAGAAAACAAAUUGGAGUUCUACUAAAAUUUUGUGCCGUCAAAGAGUAUGGCAAUGUAAACGAGGUAAAUCUGGAAUUUUUCAUUUCUGAAAACCUGGAGGGAGAGAAUAGCUUCAAUUGAAGAGAUGUAAUGUAAGAUGUGCUUGCAACAAUUCUAUCACUUUGAUGCAACCUGCGUCGCUCUAAAUCCAUAUUCAAGCUCUCAAGUUUUGAGCAACCACACAAAACAAGCUCUUCAAGUGCUCAUUUCUUUUGGAAGUUCCACAAGACUUUUACAAUUCUUCAUAUUUAAGAUCACGAAUAUUUAAGAUCACGAGACAAUGUAAAUCACCAAUAGGUUCAGGACUAAAUAGAUGCAGUUUUCAAGUAUUAUCUUUUCCAGGCCUGGGGAUCCUGAGAAGUCUGGGGUUCUGAUGAGGUCAUGCGAGCCACGCAGAUCAAGAAUUUUCAAAUUUGGAAGAGUCUGCAAAAACAAUUACAUUUAGUUGUAAACAAAACUAGAUACUUACACUUGUUUCUUUCAAUACUGUAAAGGCUUCCAUGUGAUGCCAUAUUCUUUGACAUUUGGGUGAUUCUUGACGAGCAAUUUCCCUUCUCAUAUCUCUUACGAGUUGAUGCAUCCAUAACUUUUUUAUAAUUUUUUAUUUUGACAAUUUCUACUAGACAUCUAUUAAUGAGAUUGUCAAUUCUAAAUAUUGCACCUAUACCGAGUCCAUCUAGUAUCCUAACUGCAUAAUUGUAAUCCAUUAUAUUGAAGAAACAAGCAAUAUCAAGAAAUAAGUUCUUCUGAUUAUCAUCAUCAAGAGAGUCGUAACUUGUUGCAAGAACCUUUUGAACUUGAAAAUUCGGAAUCAAUAACACGUAGGGCCAAUGGAAGUCCAUUACAAUGACACUAUUCUCCAAGAGUCCUCUAAAAAAUCUUCAACUGGGCAUCCAAAGACAUGCCAACUGAAAAGCUCAAGUGAUUUUUUGUUAUCUAGAGGUUCAACUUUGCACUUGAUACACUCACCAUCAGCUACAAUCGAAGCCUUAUUUCUACUUACAAUGAUUUUACUUCCUUGGAAAAGCCAAUUUUGAAUGCCAACAAUUGCAUUGAAUUGGUACCAUUUGUCUACAUCAUCGAGAACAAUAAGAGUUCUUCUGCAACAGAAUGCACCCUUAAUCUUUAUAAUCCCUUCAUCGACAUCAUUUAUCUCAUCAGCAGUCUUGAUUAGGAUAUCAGAAAGAAGUUCCCUUUGCAGACAAACUACACCAUUGGAUUCGUUUGACUUUUCUCUAACAUUUGAUAGAAAGCUCCUGCCUUCAAAUUUAUAAAGAUCAAGGGUGCAUUAUGUUGCAGAAGAACUCUUAUUGUUGCUCCUACCUUCUCCACGAUAGAUUGGACAACCUGUGCCUCAUACCUGUAUCAGAAAGAAAAAUGUAAUGUAUAAUUCUCUCCGUAAAGUUUCAAUAUCUUAGCAUCCUGGAAAAAAGAAAUCAAACCAGGAUGUGCGUUAAUGAUGGAUUGCUACUUUUGCAGCUAUGUUAUCACCACAUAUUAAAACCAAAAAAGGAAUAAUGUAGAAAUCUUUGCUUCUUCAGGUAGUCAAGGAAAAAAAAAGAGAAAAAAGUAUCUUUUAUUUUUAUUUUCCUUGUAUGUUCUCUGAGUUGGGAGUGUUAUAGUUUCCCUAAAUUGUAGUGGUAUUAUCACUUAUCGUCUAAAUGCUUGACUACAAACCUGAAAAAAUUAAGAGUUCAGAACCAGCAUUCUAGUAUUAUGUUAUGUGUAGUUUCAUCAAGAAAUACAACUUACCCAUCUCCUAAAACCAUUCCUCCUAAAUCUGCAACUUCCUUCAAAGCAAUCCUCCACCCAUUGACUUGCUCCAUCUCCUUCUUGAAGUGCUUUUUGUUGAAUAAACUCAAUCCAGAAGCUCCCAGAUGGUCAAAGAAGGCAACCACUAGCUGCCACCCACCAGCCGCCACCCACCAGCCGCCAGCCGCCUUCACACUUGGAACAGUUAAUUUUAUAGUUUUUGAUUUCGUGUAUAAAUAGAGUGCCCAGCCUCUGUUAUAUUGUGUGGAGAGAAUUGAGAGAAACACAAGUAAGAGAAAGAGAGAGAGAGGGCGUGUAAUUGUUAAGCUUUAAUUAAUUGUAAGCUUCGGUUUUGUGUAAUAAAAUAGUGUGUUUUAUCCCCUCUGAGUGUUUCAAAGCCACCACCAGUGGUUUCUCCCACCAACAAUUGGUAUCAGAGCCCCGUUCGUCGGAAAACAGAAGAGUUUUGGGGUAUAUCCGAAUUUUCAAAGUUGUCAAAAACAAGUUUUGAUCAUUCCACAGUGUAGAGCUCAUCAAGACGAACUCACUGCCGCAAAAAUCAGCCUCAUCGGAGUCCGAGGUAGCCCACACGCGCCCCGAGGUUGAAGACGACUGAGCCACACGCACGCCAUAUUGGAGCCGCGCCGAGCCGUUAAGCCGAGUCCUAGCCGCGCCGCAAGCCAAGUCCAGCCGAGCCGUACUCCCGCCGAGCCGAGUCGUCAUCAAAGCUCAGCCGAGCCGAAAGAAUAUUCCCAGAAUAUUCCCUAGAAUAUUCCCGGUUCAACCCAGCGAAUCGCCCGCCGUACAAAAUUGGUUUUUCGACCGGUUCACCCAUUUUCUGACCCGAUUUCAACAAAGUCAGACCGGUUCCCGACUAUUUGGACCAUUCCGGAUCGAUCUACAGUGUCCGUUUGGUCAAAUUCGGCUCCUAGAAAGGUGAUAUAGUCAUUCAAAGAGCAAAAUGACUACAGAAGGUACACAUACACUCAUUCCAAAGCUGACCAAAGAUAACUAUGAUAGUUGGUGAAUCAGAUUGAAGGCAUUUCUUGGGUCACAAGAGUGUUUGGAUAUUGUACAAACUGGUUAUGUUGAACCAGAGUCCAAAGAAGCAGAAGAUGCUUUACAAGAGGCACAGAAGCAAGCCCUCAAAGUCAACAGAAAGAAGGACAACAAAACAAAGACCAUCAUCUAUCAAGGUCUUGAUGAAGAUACAUUCGAGAUCAUAGCUUCCGCUGAAACAUCACAUGACAUAUGGGAGGCUCUCCAACAGAAAUACAAAGGUGCUGACAGAAUUAAGAAGAUUCGUCUUCAAUCUUUGCGAGGAGAAUUUGAGUUAUUGCAAAUGAAGUCCUCGGAGUCUAUUUCUGAUUAUCACACAAGGAUUAUGGUGAUAAUCAAUCAGAUGAGGAGAAAUGGAGAAGCCAUCAUCGAUGCUCGAAUUAUUGAAAAAAUUUUGAGACCCCUAGAUCUAAAAUUUGAUCAUGUUGUUGUCGCCAUUAAAGAGUCCAAAGAAGUGGAUAAGUUGACAGUUGAUGAGCUUAUGAGUUCCUUGCAAGCUCAUGAGCAGAAGAUUCUAAAGAGAAAUGGAGAUAAGGCCAUCGAACAUGCCUUACAAGCAAAGUUGUCUCUCAAAGACAGAUAUGAGCAAGGGGAGACUUCAUCAAGUGGAUACACCACUCAAGCAGGAAGUCAACAAUCCAGAGGAGGAUUCCAGAGAUUCCAAGGAAGAGGUUCUUGGAAUACAAGCUUUAGAGGAAAAGGUGGCAGAAACACUACCAGAGGAGGCCGAGGACAACAAGCAUUCACUCCUAGAGGAAGAGGAGGCGGUUACAAUAACCGUGACAAGAGGAAUAUCCAAUGUUAUAGUUGCAAUCAAUUUGGGCACUAUAGCAUUGAAUGCAGAAGAAAAGCUCCGUUAGAGAUACGUGAGCAAGCCAACUAUGCAGAAAAGGAUGACAGAGAAGCAUCUGCAUUUCUUGUCCAACAAGGACUUGAUGAGAAAAAGGAGGAUAUAUGGUAUCUAGAUACUGGAGCCAGCAAUCACAUGUGCGACUACCGAGAGUUAUUUAGUAAUCUAGAUGAGACCAAGCAAGGUCUAGUUACUUUUGGAGAUACCACAAAGGUUCCAUUCAAAGGUAAAGGCAACAUCCCAGUCAAGAUGAAGAAUGGCGAUUCCAGCUACAUCGUCGAUGUCUAUUAUGUCCCAGCCAUAAAGCAGAACCUGAUCAGCUUAGGUCAACUUUUGGAGAGAGGCUAUACUUUUUACUCGGAGAAUUGUCAUCUGACAAUUAGAGACAACAAUUGGAGAUUAAUGGCCUAUGUGAAAAUGUCCAAGAAUAGGAUGUUUCCUUUGAACAUCCAGUAUGAUGCAGCAAGGUGUUUGAGUGCCAUCACCAACAGUGAAGAAUGGCUUUGGAUCAAUCUUGAUUUGAUCCUUGAAGGUGAAGAAGUACCAACAGUACUUGUAGAAGAACCGAUUGUGCCAGCAGCUGAACCACAAAGUCCGGUGUUUAUACCAGCAGCUGAACCACAAAGUCCGGUGUUUAUACCAGCAGCUGAACCACAAAGUCCGGUGCACAGAUUCCCUGUAUUCAACAGGAGGAACACACCAGGAGCAUCAUCAUCAACACCACCAUCAGCAUCCUCGUUAGAAGGACCAAGAAAGAUGCAGAAUCUUGAAGAGUUGUACGAUACCACUCAGGUAAUGGAAGAUACAACUCUGUUUUGUUUCCAUGCAGAUAGUGACCCAUUAAGCUUCAAUAAAGCUGUCACAGAAAAGAAAUGGAUAAAAGCAAUGGAUGAAGAAAUACAUGCCAUUGAGAGAAGAAAGAUACCUGGAAGCUGACUUAUCCACCAGAAAAGAAGAAAGCAAUAGUGGUCAAAUGGGUCUACAAGACGAAAGCCAAAUUAGUGGAUAAAGGCUACAAGCAGAGAGAAGGCAUUGAAGAGAGAAGUAUUCAUGCUUGGCAUGAUAUCUCUCGAUUGAGUUUAAAGGGGAGAUUUGUUGAAUAAACUCAAUCCAGAAGCUUCCAGAUGGUCAAGGAAGGCAACCACCAGCUGCCACCGACCAGCCGCCACCGACCAGCCGCCAGCCACCAGCCGCCUUCACACUUGGAACAAUUAAUUUUAUAGUUUUUGAUUUCGUGUAUAAAUAGAGUGCCCAGCCUCUGUUAUAUUGUGUGGAGAGAAUUGAGAGAAACACAAGUAAGAGAAAGAGAGAGAGGGGGCAUGUAUUGUGUUAAGUUUGAAUUAAUUGUAAGCUUCGGUUUUGUGUAAUAAAACAGUGUGUUUUAUCCCCUCUGAGUGUUUCAAAGCCACCACCAGUGGCUUCUCCCACCAACACUUUUCACGAUCCACAAAUGUUGUAGCAAAGCUCCUUGUUUGAUUUCUGACUUCAGACGGAUCAUAGAAGACCGGCAAAAUUAUGCAGUCAGUAUUGCUCUUACGUUCCAUGAUCAUUACAAGUUCAUCGAGGCACCACCGCGACAAAGCAUAUGCUUUGGAGAACACGAUUAUCGAUAUUUUUUAUUGUUGUAUUGCCUACUGGAGCUCUGACUUUAUAUUUUCUCCUCUCCCAAUUUCAUCAUCGUCUCUAAAUGUGUGAAUCCCUGCUUGAACCAGGGCUGUGUAGAGGUGAUCGGUAAAGUUCUUGCGGGUGUCUUCCCCUCUAAAACUCAAGAACACUUGAUAUUUACAAUUAGAAAACCGAGAAGAGUAGGAUUCUUGAUAUUUCCCAGCAGCCAUUUCGAGUCUAGCAAAGAUAAGACUUUACAAAGAUCUGGACAAAAAAAAAAGGAAUUGCAGGAUUCUAGAUAUUUCCCAGAAGCCAUUUCGAGACUAGCAAAGAAAAAAAGUUGCAGGAUGAAUGUCGAUAAUUCAAGAUCGAUAGCACAACAAUUAGCUGAAGUAUUUAUAUAUCAUUAUCCUACUUUUUCUUUAUAACAGCAAUCAACUCCCCCAGACCCUUUCAGAUAAAUAUCUGUACAUAUGUUAACCGCACUUGCUACCACGCAUUUAGAAGCACAGAUGGAGCAGGAAAGGAAAGUCAUUAAGGAUCCCCAUCUGGCUAUGUAAGCCUUAAUUAUUUAGAAAGCACACAUCUUGUAAUCCUUACAAAGCCCACGGGGGUGAAUUUGUUAGUUUAUAAUUUUUUGAGUGGCAUAAUAUGAUGAGAUGAUGAACAUGUAGUCACUAACAGUGGUUUAAUCUAAGCGAUUAUCAACAAAGAAAACAAGACAGCAGCUGGAUUGGAACCAAAGUAAACAAGAGAUAAGAAAGAGAGAGUACCUGCAAGUUUCCCUUCCCUUCUCUCUUCAGUUGUGGCUGCUGUUCUGUAUCAGUAAUCUAAGCGGUUCUGCUCCACAAUUUUAAGACAACCCUUCAAGUCUUUGUGGCACAAUAUUAUAAUAAAAUAUUUUAUUAUAUAGGAAUGCGAGGUAUAGUUACCAAAAGGGACAUUAGACACCCGCAUAAUCCAACUCAUCCACUCUCGCUGUGCCCCUGCUCUGGCCGUAUCUCUAUCCUCUCGCAUCCAAAACCAGCAUCAACACCACCCACCAAUAAGAAAAAGGCACGUGGAGGAUCAUGACUCUGAAUCAGCUACUGGGUCGGCUACCGAGUGGUGUUCCGUUUUGAGCCAUUGAGUAUUGCUGUGGAGUGGAGGGACAUUGAAGCUGCACAAUGUUUGGUGUCUUUGGCUAUAAAGUGUGGGCUUAAGGAAUCAGGGAUUACAAGUGCUGAUGGCAAGAGGGCUAUUGAGUGGGGGUUUUAUAAGAAUGGAGGUUCCAUGGAGUGAUAGUAAUAGGAUUCUGUUGUCAAAAGAGUGUGUGAGGUUUCCCGUUGACUUGGCUCGUCAGAAAAUUGGAAGAGAACUCGAGCGUUUUUUAGUUGUUUAAGAGAAAACAGCAAAUGGGCUCGUCAGAUAAAAAAUUACUAAUUAAAUUUUAUCAUGUGUUAUUUUUAUUUUAUUUUUUAUAUAAAAAAAUGAAAUAAAAUAGAUAAAAUAACAUGAAAAUUGGAAGGUUAACUUAUAUUUAAUAUGUCUUAUUAUAAAUGCAAAUUAAUAAAAUAAUAUCAUAUUACAUUUUUUAAUAUGAAACCCUUAUAAAUACUUAUAAAUAAAAGAUCUCAUGCUAUUUCAUGAUAAGCUUUCCAAGAAAAAAGAAAAAACUAUUUCAAAAGCUUUCCAGUUUUUUUGAUUUUACGGUUGAAAUCUAAAAAAGCAAACCUCUACUUAAUGAAACCUAAAAUAAUACAGGUUCUAGACCCUUCUUUGCAAAACUCCAAAAAGUGUAAUUGCGAGUCCUGUGUUUACCAUGGAAAGCACAAUUAUAAUUUCUAACUAUAUGAGAAGCUAUUUGUACUUUGGCUACGUGUGCUGCAUCAUCAUCAUCAUCGCUACUGUUGUGGGCAUUGAUAACUUCAUCCUUUCCUUCCUCUUCAUGCAACCAUUGUACACCAACGGUCCUUAUUUGGAUAGCUGGACCACGUGGACGCACUGAAAUACUCACGUCAUCACCAUUAUCAAAUGUAGGAUCAUUGCCCCCCUAAUUUCGUGUGCAAUAGCGAUUGGAUUUCCCGAUCACCACACGCGUACUGUUUGACAAAGGAUUGACAAAGCAAGGAUCGACCACUCGUAUUGUUUCUGAUUUCAAUAUGAACAUUACUAAAGCCACGGUAUGCUGACGUCACACAACUUAUGAACAGAUUAAAGCCACAUAUCCGGUGCGCAGGAGGUGAUGAGGAUAUUUUGAAUGAAAAGUUAUCUACAAACUCAUUCUGAAUUAGCCAUUUAUCCUCCACAUGAAACCCCCUUAACAUCUCAUCUUCAUCAAAUACAUAUACGGCAACGUUGAAUGUGCCAUCUAUAAAUGAUAUCUGUACCAUCAAAACAAUGUCUAUAAAAUGAGAAAAAGAAAAGUAUUCAAAUGUAGAUUUCCAAAACAAUAAAAUGGGUGAAGGAGGACCUGAAAUCUCGAUGGCUGUAUUUGAGCACUAACCGUUUCCAUUAUUGUGAACAUUUGAGAGUCUAACUUUUGGAUUAAUCCUUGCUUUAUCCGAUCUUGGAACUCGAUUAAGUGAUCACAACCAUCUCCUUCAGGCCUACUGUAUGGAUUUGCAAGUCUUUGCAGUGAAUAGCAAAAGGACACAUCUAACAACUCCAAAAGGAAUGGAAGCUCUGGGAGUGCCUGAAGCAUUUUGCAAUUUCUUAAAUAUAGGUGUCUGAGUAGACCAAGAUCCUUGAUGCUUUCUGGAAGAAAACGAAUUGGAGUUCCACUUAAAUCUAGACUCUCCAAGAAGCGUGGCAGUAAAAACGAGGUAAAUCUCAACAUUUUCCUCGUUGAAAACCUAGAGGGAAAGAAUAGCUUCAAUGGAAGAGAUGUAAUGUACGAUGCACUUGCAACAAUUCCAUCACUUUGAAGCAACUUGCGCCCCUGAUGAUGCUCUAACUCCAUAUUCAGGCUGUUAAGAUUUGAACAACCAUCUAAAACCAGCUCUUGAAGUGAAUUCAAUCUACUCAUUCCUUCUGGAAGCUCCAUAAGACUUGUACAAUUUCUUAGAUUUAAGAUUAACAAUCUUUGUAAAUCACCAAUAGAUUCGUGAAUUUGAACCAAACGGAUGCAGUCUUCAAGUAUUAGCUUUUCAAGGGCUGGGAGACCCGAGAAGUCUGGGGUUCUAAUGAGAUCUUGAGAGUGACGGAGAUCAAGAAUUUUCAAUUUUGGAAGAAACUGUGAAAAUACAUGAAUUUAGUUGUUAUCAAUUGAAAACGAGAGAGAUAACUAUAAAGAGACUUGAUACAUACCGGUGUUUUCCCUUCCAAGCAUCAACUAGACAACUUCUGGAUAGAUCAAGAACCACCAGCUUCUCCAAGCAUACGUGAUUUGGUAUGGAGCUCCAAGACAAUCCAUGCCAACAUAACCAUAUCAAAUUCCUGGGAAAGUGCUCAAAACUUCCAUGAAAAUUAGUGUAGUUUAGUUGGAGAAAUUUUACAUCUGUCAUCUUUCUAAAAGCAUUCGUGCUGAGGAUAGGAAACAAACUUGUUUGGCCAGUUUGUAAUUUUCCCUCAUAGGAAAAAUCAGAAAGCCAUUGUUGAAAGAAGUUAACCCUGCGGCGCUUUCGGCAAACCAUUGAAUCAGUACAGACAACUUUUGCAUAAUUAUCUUCCAUUAAUGCAUGCAUAUCAAUAGUAAGGCCACGCAAAUUUUCAGCAUCCUACAUAAUAAUAUUAAGAGUACAUGAGAAAUGAAAGUAAAUGAAAUAAUAUGUUAAGGCACCACAAACCAUUUAAGUAGAUAUAUUAAAAAAAUUGAGCUACUUACAGUAGUUCCUUUCAAAACUGUAAAAGCAUCCUCGUGACGCCAUAUUCUUUGACAUUUGGGAGAUUCUUGACGAGCAAUUUCCCUUCCCAUAGCUCUUACGAGUUGAUGCAUCCACAACCUUUUAUCAUUGUUGAUUUCAAUAAGACAUCUAUCGAUGAGAUUGUCAAUCCCAAAUCUUGCACCUUUAUCGAGCCCAUCCAGUAUCCUAACUGCAUCAUCCACAUCCAUUCCAUUGAUGAAACAUGCGAUAUCAAGGAAUAAGUUCUUCAGAUAAUCACCAUCAAGAAAGUCGUAACUUAUUCGAAGAACCUUAUGAACUUCAAAAUUAGGAAUCACUUCCAUUUGUUGUAAUGCACUUUCCCAUAUCUCUCUUCCUUUUCCAGACAAUGAAGAGCCAAUAACUCCAAGAGCUAAUGGAAGUCCAUUACAAUGAUGUACUAUUCUCCAAGAGUCUUCUACAAAACCAUCAACAGGGUCAGCUUGUCCAAAGGCAUUCCAACUGAAAAGCUCAAGUGAUUUUCAUCAUCUAGCGGUUUGACUUUUGCACCUGACCCACUCAAUAUCAUUAGCUGAAAACAGACCCUUAUUUCUGGUUGUUACAAUGAUUUUACUUCCUUUACAAAGCCAAGUUUGCAUGCCAAUGAUUUUAUUGAAUUGGUCCCUUUUGUCCACAUCAUCUAGAACAAUAAUAGUUUUUCUGCAACAUAAUGCAUCCUUAAUCUUCAGAAUUCCUUCAUCAGGAUCAUUUAUCUCAACAGUCUUGUUUAGGAUGUCGAAAAGAAGUUGUCUCUGCAGGCAAACUAUAUCCUUUAACCUAAAAUUUGAUAGAAAGCUCUUUCCUUCAAAUUCAUAAAAGUUAUGGUUAAAAACACUCUUAGCUAUGGUUGUCUUACCAACUCCACCAAUUCCAUAGAGUAAAGCAAUGGCAGCACCAUGGGACCCAUCUUGCAACCAUGAGUUGAUAUCUUGUACUAGAGGAUCUCUUCCAAUGAAAUGAGGGGUACAUGAAACAUUUUUUUGAUCCAAAUUCUUUAAGACUUCUCCACAAUAGAUUGGACAAACGGUGCCUCGUACCUACAUCAAAAAGUAAAAACAUACAACGAUAAUUAGUAGUCUCUCUAUAAGCAAUAGAAAUUAAAGCAGGUUGUGUGUCAAUGAUUUGAUAGUUUAAACCAAAUCAUGAUUGGAAAAAAAAAAAACAACGAAGAAAUCAUGAGUAUUUUAUUUUAUUUUUGUUAUAUGUUUUCUUAUCAGUACACUUAACUGAAAGAAAUUAAGAGUUCACGACCAGCAUUCUAAUCUUAUGCUAUGUAUAGUUUCAUAAAGAGAUACAACUUACCCAUCUCCUAGAACCAUUCCAGCUAAAUCAGCCACUUCCUUUAAAGCAAUCCUCCACCCAUUCACCCGCUCCAUCUCCUUGUUGAAGCUCUUUUCAUGUUCCACAAAUGCUGCAGAGAAGCUCCCUGUUUGACGUCCGACUUGGGAUGGAUCCACAUCAUAGAAUACUGGCAAACUAUGCAGUCAGCAUUCCUCUUACGUUCCAUGAUCAUUACAAGUUCAUCAGGCACCAUCUCGACGAAGCAUAGUCUUUGGAGAACACGAUUAUCGAUAUUUUUGAUUGUUGUAUUGCCUUCUGGAGCUCGAAAUCUAUAUUCUCUCCUCUCCGAAUUUCAUUAUCAUCUCUAAAUGUGUGUGAAUCCCUGCUUGAACCAGAGCCGUGUAGAGGUGAUCGGUAAAGUUCUUGCGGGUGUCUUCACCUCUAAAACUCAAGAACACUUGAUAUUUACAAUUAGGAAACCGUGAAGAGUAGGAUCUUGAUAUUUCCCAGCAGCCAUUUCGAGUCUAGCAAAGAUAAGACUUUUCAAAGAUCUGAACAAAAUAAAACAGUUUUCAAGAUUGAGAGAGAAAGGGUGGAUUGUAAAUUUAAGACAAGUCAUCCCCACAAGUCCACUCUCUCUAUGGUAUGGAACGUUUCCGCGUGAGGAAUUUUCCAUGGCUAAUUAAUGUCUAGGCGUGGAAAAUUUUGCAUGGAAAGUUUUGGUGCCGGGAAUUGAUGGCUAUUGACAUCGUGAAGUAAGAAUCAAGUUAGAAAAAUCUAAUUAAGAGGAGAAGUUUAUGGCUAUUCACAUCAUUUCGGCCAAAAAUUCUAUCGAAAAAUUAAGGGGUAAGAAACCCAGGCGAUAAGAAACCGCGAAGAGUAGGAUUCUUGAUAUUUCCCAGCAGCCAUUUCGAGUCUAGCAAAGAUAAGACUUUUCAAAGAUCUGAACAGAAAAAAAAUAAAAUAAAACGAGUUGCAGGAUUGAUGUCGAGAGUUCAAGAUCGACAGCACACCAAUAAGCUGAAGUAUUCAUAUAUUGUUAUCUUACUUUAUCUUUAAAACAGUUUUCAAGUUAUUUCCCAGCAAUCAAAUCCUCCAUGCCCUUUCUGAAAAAUAUCUGUACAUAUGAUUAAUUUAAGUGAUUCUAAAAAAUAUUUUUUUUAUUUUUUUUAUUUUUAUUUUUUAUUUUUUUUAUCCUUCAAAAAAAAAAGAGAGAGUACCUAUAAUCUUUACUUGUAAGACCAUCUCCAGGAGAAAAUGUUAUUUUGAAGAGUUUAAUUGAUAAAAUAAUAUUUUAAAUAGUAUAUAUAUAGUGUUUUUAUUUUUUUAAUAAGUUUAAUGUUAUUUUUUUAUAUGUUUAUAUUUAAUUGAUUUAUUUUUUUAUGGUCUUAUUUUGUUGGUUUUGAUGUUUUUAAAAGAUACGUAAGAAUAAUAUUUGUGAUAGAGAAAAACAAUUUUAUUUAAUAUUUUUUUUUAAAUAUGUAAAAUAAACAUAAAAAAACUAAAAUAAUAUUAAGAUGAGGAUGCUAAAAAGUCAGCCUUGGAAGUCGCUGUGAUAUAAUUACCAAAAGGGACAUUAGACACACUCACACGGUUCUUCUUACUUCACCCACCAGUAAGAAAAAGGCACAUGGAGGAUAAGGCUCUCCAUAUCUGACUUGGAAAGUUUACUAGGGCCUGUAAUUCUUGCUGCAUCAUUUGAAUCUGCUGAAAGUAAAGUAGAUUUACGAAGAAUUAAUUGAAAAACAAAGCAAUUGGUUAAAUUAAAUAAAUUACUCAACUAGCAUAAUUUUUUUAUUAGUAUUUCAAUUAAAUAAUUUGAUUUGUUUUUUAUUUAGAAUUUGAGAUUUAUGGAAUUUGAGGUGUUUAAUGGUUUGUUCUCAUAUAUAAAAAACUCGUGAAUUAGACUUUUUAUAAAUAAAAUUUAAAUUUAAAUAAAAAAAAUAUUAGUUGAACUAAAUCUUGCUAACUCCCAAUAAAAUUGAAUCAUAUCAACAUCAAAUAAUUAUUUUUAAAACAAAAAGUAAAUUAAUCUUAUUUUUAUUAAAUAAUUGACUCAAGUUAAUUAUUAUUAUUUUUAUAAAAUAAUUGACUUAAGUUAAUUGGAUAACGCAGUUAUCAAAACUUAUUUUAAAAGCGUGUUUAGAAAUGUGAUAGCGAUUAUUUUUUAAAAUAUUUUUUAUUUAAAAAUAUAUUAAAAUAAUAUAUAUUUUUUAUUUUUUAAAAAUUAUUUUUGAUAUAAGUACAUUAAAAUAAUAUAAAAAUAUAAAAAAUAUAUUAAUUUAAAAUUAAAAUAUUUAAUUUUAAAAAAAACACUUCUAACACAUAAUACCAUGCACACCCUAUAUUUGUAAUCGGACCAGUCUACAACUGGGGCCCAAGACAUGGGCAUGGUUUUAAAAUUGAGAGAGAAAGGGUGGAUUGUAAUUUUAAGACAAGUCAUCCCUACAAGUCCACUCUCUCUAUGGUAUGGAACGUUUCCGCGUGAGGAAUUUUCCAUGGCUAAUGCAUGGAAUUGAUAUAUUGACAUCGUGAAGUAAGAAUCAAGUUAGAAAAUAAACUUCAGAAGUUGAUGGCUAUUGACAUCAUUUCGACCAAAAAUUCUAUCGAAAAAUUGAGGGGUAAAAAACCCAGACUCUACCCUUCGUAUUGUUUCUGAUUUCAAGAUAAACAAGACGAUAAGGAUUGCAUACUGACAUAGCAGAAAACCAUGUGAAUAGAUCAAAGCCACAUAUCCGGUACUCUUGUUCUUCCUCCUCGUGAAACCACAUUAACAUCUCAUUUUCAUCAUAUUCAAGGACAAUGUUGAAUCUGUUGCCCUAAAGUUGUAUCUAUUCCAUCAUAGCAGAAUUUAUAAAAUGAGCAAAGGGAAAAUUUUCUAGAUAUAUAAGAGCAAAAAUGUAGAGUUGAAAUAAAGCAGAACUUAUAAAAUGAGCAACGGAGAUCAAGAAUUUUAAAUUUUGGAAGAGACUGUGAAAACACUUGAAAUCAGUUAUUGUCCAUUGAAAAUAAGAGAGAUAGCUGAAUAGAGAGACUAGAUACAGAGCAUGCCUUUCCAAGCAACAAUUAGACUGGUUCUGAAUUCGAUUAAGAGCCACAAGCUUCUCCAAGCAGAAGUGCUUUGGUUUGGAUCUUGUAAUAACCCAACCCUUUUAUUUUAUUUAUAUUAUUAUUAUUAUUUUCCUUGAAAAAUGAUAAUAAAAAAAUAAUGAAAAAAAACAAAUAAAAAAAUAAAAUAAAUGAAGAAUGAAUUAAAAUUUGGGUUAACGGUAACAUGAGUGAAAGUUUUGGAAUUUAAUUAAACUUUGGAUUAGUUUUAUUAACCAAAUUAAGAGCUUAAUUGAGGAAUUGAUAAGUUUGAGACUUAAUUGAACUUGAAAUUAGUUAAUUAAUGAAAUCAGGGGCUUAAUUAAAUAAACAUCAAAGUUUAGGACUGAUCUAGUUACAAUUGCAAGAAAUUAAAAGCCAAUGACCAAUUUGUAAAUGGCGCUGAGAUCUAGGGGUCCAAUUAAAAUGUAUCCAGGGGGCUUGCUUACAAAGCUUUCAAAACAUCAGACCAAAACGAAAAUGGCCAUCAACACUGUUCAUUUUCUUCAACGAACUAGACCAGAAACGGAUGCCCCACGAUCCGCCUCAUUAUUUAGAGGCGACCGCAUGGCAUUAUCUGGCUCUAUAAAAAGCCAGAGAAAGACCAGGCACUCCGGGGGGGGGGGGCUGGGGGAAGGAGAAACGUAAAGAAAAACAGAGAGAAAGAACGAACAUCAUUGAAAAACUAAAGGGACGCCCUUGUCUUCUUCUUCGGUGGCAGCUCCAAAAGCUCCAUUUUCAGCAGGCACUGCUGUUAUUGCUUGAGAAGACCUAAAAAUACAGAGGGAAAAACUGGAAAAGGGAACAAACCAGGGGACUAAGGAAAACCAAAAGAACCCGAGAAGGAAACAGAGGUAGAAACCCGGGGAGGACAAAGAAAAAAAAACAGCCGAACAGAGGAGAGGGAGUGAAAGUAGGAAACACAGAAUCCGCAGAGAAGAACAGAGCAUAUACGGGGAGACUAAAAGAAAAAUAGAAAAAAACAAACACAGGCAAAGGUUGCACCGAGAGAAAGCUAAAGAAAAGAAAGAACCAGAGGAAAAGUAAACGAAAGGAGGAACAGCACGCCAUCGCCUUCAUCCUGCUCCCAGGUAAGUGUCUCCAAUUUUGCAAAAUAAUUCACCAACACUGUGCCCACUAGACCUAACCUAAAAAAAAUAAAAAUAAAGAUAAAAUAAAAUAAAAACAAGUAAAAUAAAAUAAAAUAAAUAUAUGCAUGCAUACAUAAAAAAUAAAUUUGGUUUAUUUACUGAUAACAGAGUUAUGAAUAAAAAUACUUAUUUAAAUUUAUUUUAUUAUAUUUUGUUAUUAUUAUUUUCUAGCUACGUAAUAUUUACUAAUGCUAGAGUUGAAAAUAUUUAUAGUUGAAUAUUCAUUGACACUAGAGUCGGGAAUAUUACAAGCAAACCAUCAGAGCAUAAACCAAUAAUUUUUUAGGAAUUUAAAAUAAAAUCAACAAUGCAGCCUGUCAUAGACAGGAAGUUUAAGAAGUGAUAAUAUCUUUAUUUUUAUAUAAUCAGUCUUGUACCAUAGAAUCUAUGUUGAUCAGUUAGGAUUUCUAGUGAACAUAAUACUAGAUGAUGACUCUUUAAACAAGAUCAUUCCCCCUAAAAAAACAAGAUGUCAAGUGUCUAUGCUUUUCUCUUAUAAGAUUUCAUUUUUACAUGGUCGCGCGAAGUCCAAUGUGACAUAUCUUAAAGGGAAUCCAUAUCAACAUAACUACAUCAAAUUCUUGGAAAAGUGUUAAUAACUUCCAUAGAACUUGUGUAAUUUAGCUGGAGAAAUUUUACAUUUUACAUCUUUCUAAAUGCAUCCGUACGUGCUGAGGACAAGAAACAAACUUGUUUGGUUAAUUUGUACUUGUUCCCCCAAGAAAAACUCAGAAAGCCACUAUUGAGAGAGGAGUGUAGGAAGAAGACAUUGUUGAAAGAAGUUAAACCUGUAGCGGUUGCAGGCGCACCAUUGAAUCAGUACAGACAACUUCUGUACUUAUUCAUGCAUAUACAGGGUAAGGCCACACAAUUUUUCAGCUUCAUGCUUCCAAAAUAUUGAAAGUAAAUGAGAAAAGAAAGUAAAAGCAUGAACAUUUUAAGACACCUAAAUACCAUGAAGAUAGGAAAACAGAACCAGUUACUCUUACACUUGUUUCUUUCAAAACUGUAAAAGCUUCCAUGUGUGAUGCCAUAUUCUUUGACAUUUGGGUAAUUCUUGACGAGCAAUUUCCCUUCCCAUGUCUCUUACGAGUUGAUGCAUUUAUAAAUUUUUUUUCAUUUUAUUUUAACAAUUUAUGAGAUAGUCAAUCCUUAAUCUUGCAUCUAUACCGAACCCAUCAAGUGUCCUAACUGCAUAAUUCUCAUCCAUUCCAUUGAAGAAAUAAGCAAUAUCAAGGAAUAAGUUCUUCUGAUAAUCAUCAUCAGGAGAGUUCUAACUUUUUGCAAGAACCUUUUGAACUUGACAAUUUGGAAUCACUUCCAUUUCAUGUAAUGCACUUUCCCAUACUUUUCUGCUUUUACUAAAAAAUGAAGAACCAAUAGCACAAAGGGCUACUGCAAGUCCAUUACAAUGAUGUACUAUUCUCCAAGAUUCCUCCAUAAAAUCUUCAACUGGGUAAGCUUGUCCACAGGCAUGCCAACUCAAAAGAUUAAGUGAUUUUUUGUUAUCUAGAGGUUCAUCUUUGCACUUGACACACUCACCAUCAUCUACAAUCAAAGCCUUAUUUCUAGUUCUUACAAUGAUUUACUUCCUUCGCGAAGCCAAUUUCGCGUGCCAACAAUUGCAUUGAAGUGGUCCCAUUUGUCCAUCUCAUCAAGAACAAUAAGAUUUCUUCUGCAACAUAACGCAUCCUUAAUAUAAUUAAUCCCUUCAUCAACAUCAUGUAUGUCAUCAGCAUUGUUUAGGAUAUUUGAAAGAAGUUGCCUCUGUAGGCAAACUACACCAUUGGAUUCUUUUGACUAUUCUCUAACAUUUGAUGGAAAGAUCCUACCUUCAAACUUAUGAAACUGCUGGUUAUAAACACUGUUUGCUAUGGUUGUCUUCCCUACUCCACCAAUCCCAUAAAGUAUAUCAAAGGCAGAACUGUGGGAGCCAUAUUCUUCCAACCAUAAGUUGAUAUGUUUUACUAGAGGAUCUCUUCCGAUGAAAUGAAGGGAGAUAUGAAAUAUUUUAUUUGUCGUAUAAGAUCAUGGUCACAAGAAAUUGUCGUAUUUUUUAAUUGUUGGUCCGUUUAUGGUUUAAGAAAAGUCCUCUUCGAUAAAAAGAUCAUUAUUUUAUCGGGUAAAAUCUAACCACUCUAACGUCAAAAAAAGAAUUUAAUAUCCUGAAUACGUCUUACGUAUAAGAUCAUAACCCUAGAUAUUAAAAGAAAAAAUAUAUUUUUUUGAAGUUUUUUUGAAAUAUUGGCCUAGUUCUCGCGAUUUUAAUAAACUGGUUAUUAAAGUCAAAAUGCAUGCUAAUACAUAUUUUUGAAGUUUUCUUUGUUAUAUGAAAGUACAAUAUGAUUUUUUUAGAGACUUGGCCGUAUGUAUGAAAACAAAAUAUUUUUUAUGUUUUGCCGAAGACCAGGUAUUUUAAUAUCGAAUUUGUAUCUUUACAGUAUAAAAAUACAAACCGAUAUUAAUUAAAAUGCAGUACAUUUUUUUGCAGAAAAUCACAGAUUUUUUUGAAAAAAAAACAAUUUUUUUUUUUUAAAACCGGAACUAGCCCAGGUUAAGCCAGUGACCCGGCUGCUUGCUCAACGAUUCAAGUGAAUUAUAAUUCAGUUGCUCAUUGAACUUGAACAGUAAAGAGCAACAAUUACUGUUCAAGUGAAUUAUAAUUAAUUCACUUGAACAGUAAAAGAUAACAAUGAAAAAAAGAAAAUGCAUGCAGUGACAGAAACAAUGCAAUGUGAAGAGAAAUGUGUGAGGCUUACCUAGUAUCUGAAACAGAUGAAGACGAUUGCAAUGAAACUGCUGCGCAGGAUCGGAGGUGACUGAUUUUGGGGACGAUGAAGACGAUCAACGCUGGGUCUUUUUUCUUCUGGUUUUUCCCUUCCCUUUUCUUCCUGUUUUUCUCCCCUGUAUUCCCCUCUCAGCGGUUCUUGGCGUGGCUGCUGGGAUGAAGAAGAUGAUGAGCUGACAAUGGCGUUGGCAGUGCUGGUGCAGUUGUGAUGGAGAAUGGCAGUGGCUGGUUUCUGGAAGAAUUGAAGAUGAUGACAAUUUGGUUUUAUUCCCUUGCCUCUGGUUCCAAAGGUCAAGGGACAGCGACGAUGGAGGCUGGUUGCUGUUGGUUUUUUUUCUUGCUUCUGUUCUUCUGCUCCUCUGUUAUCGUCUCCCUAUGCUUCCCAGUUCUCCUUCCUGUCUCCCUCUUUUUCUUUUUAUUCUCCCUGUUCUCUCUCUCUCCCUCUCUGUCUCGUCUUUCUCCUUUCCGUUACCCCCCUCUCUCUGUUUUUCUCCUGUCCGUUGUCCUCUCUGGUCUUUUUUUUUCUGUCUUUCCUCCUCCUUUUCAUCGUCUUUCUCUGGCUUUUAGAAGCCAAAGAAUGCCCUGCGGUGCAACGUUCAGCUUGGUAACGACAUGUAGAGGAAUAGUAGCCGUGAAAUAUUCCCCAUAAUUGAAGCAAUCUGCUGUUUUUGUCGCUGAAAUGGCUCCACUGUCUACUGAAACGGCUGUGAAGAAAGGGGAUGAAAUAGUGCUCUGAAACGGCGCCGUCUUCCUAUCAAAAUGGAUAUUUCUGAUUUGGUCCUUGUCUGUUUUGACAAUUUUCUAAUCAAGCCCCCGGAUGAAUUGUAAUUGGAUCCCUUGAUUUUAAUUUAUUUUUCCGGUUUAGUCCUUGGUUUCAAAUUGUUUCAAUUAAGUUCCUAAUUGGCCAUCAAACUUCAAUAAUUAUGCAAUUAAGCAUCUGAUUUGAUCAAAUCAACUCUUUAAAAUUAUAAUUGGACCCCAUAACUUUAAUUACUUCCAAUAAAAACCUAAAUUGACUUUAAAAAAUCAAUUUUCUUACAAUUAAACCAUCUAUAAAUUCAAUUAAACCUUGGAUAAAAUUUAAUUGAGUCCAUAAACAUUUUAUUUUAGAUUUUUCUUUCUCAACUUGAAUUUUAUUUGUCAAUAGAGCUCUCAUUAGUAGAAAAUAUAACGUAAAAUUUCAAUUCUUGUAUUUCUGAACCUCCUCAACUAAUUCCUAGUCAUUUUAUAAGAGUUCCAGCGUCUUUUUCUCACUCCUGUUAUUAUUAUUUUUUAUUUUUUCCAAAUAUAUUUUUUUUGUAUUUUUUUAUUUUUUAUAUGGAAAUCUAAAAAUAGAUAACAAUAGAAGAGGUAAUAUCGUUCAUUGUCUAAAUGCUUUACUACAAACCUGAAAAAAUUAAGAGUUCACUACCAGCAUUCUAGUCUUAUGCUAUUUGUAAUUUCAUUCAGAAAUACAACUUACCCAUCUUCUAAAACCAUUCCUCCUAACUCUGCAAUUUUCUUCAAAGCAAUCCUCCACCAAUUCACUCGCUCCAUCUCCUUCUUGAAACGCUUUUCAUGAUCCAAUAAUGCUAUAGCGACUUCAGAUGGAUCCACAUCAUAGAAUACUGGCAAAACUAUGCAGUCAGCAUUCCUCUUACACUCCAUGAUCAUUACAAGUUCAUCGAAGCACCACCUCGACAAAGCAUAAUUUAACAAUUAUUUUUUUAAUUGUUGUUUGUUUUAUUUUUUAUUAUUUUUUUAUUGAUUAAUUUUUUAAUUCCAUUCCUCAUCAUUUUAUUGAUCAGGGAUUUAAUUUCCUUAUUUUUGUAGGUUUAUCUUCUAUGAAGUUGGUUACAGUCUCAUAAUUUAGACUACAAGUUUUGAAAAAUAGGUUGAGUUCAUUUUAUUUUUUUAGGUUAUUUUUAAAAACUGAUAUUUUUUUUUAAAUCAUCUUUCAACAUUGGGUUGGUUAGGGGUUGAAUUUCAUGAAUUUGUUUUUGUAUUAUUUCAAUCUCAUGUCUUGAGUCGUAAUUUAGUGGGUUAACACAUGUCCUUUUGUUUUUCCAUUGUUUUUUUUAUAUUGGAUUGUUUUUCUCAGUUUUGCCCUUCAACAUUACAUUAUCUGAGAUUUGAGCUUUGUUGUUUUAUUCUUUUUUUUUUUACAAGGUUAUCCUGGUCUCAGGAUUAGGUUAUGUAUUUGGCUAACUGACUUGAGUGGAUCAGUCAAGUCAUUUUUUUUGUUUUCUUUUUUAAUUUAAUUUUUUUUUAAUUGUGUCCUUUAACAUUUGAUUGCUUAGAAUUGAGAUUCAUAUUUUUUUUAUAAGGUUGUCACAGUCUCAUUUGAUUUUUUUGCUUCGUUAUCAAAUACUAUGAGGAUAUAUUUUUGUAAUAUUGACAAGCGUUCUUUUUUUUACUUGAUCAUUGUGAAUUUUUUUUAGUUCGAUUUGUUUAUUGUUGUUGUCUAUUUUUUUAAUUAUAUUAUUAAAUUAAUUAUAUUUAUUCAACUAAGGCAACUUAACAACCUAAGUCUUUAAUUAUUUUUAUUUAAAAAAAAACAACUUGGUUGGCCGGAAGAAUUGUCAUCUUCAAUGUCGGAUGACAGAGGCAAACUAUAUUCUUUGAUCUAAAGUUUGACAGGAAGCUCUUUCCUUCAAAUUUAUAGAAGUUCUGGUUAAAAACACUCUUAGCUAUGGCUGUCUUUCCAACUCCGCCAAUUCCAUAGAGUAAAGCAAUGUCAGCACCAUGGGAUCCAUCUUGCAACCAUGAGUUGAUAUAUUGUACCAGAGGAUCUCUUCCAAUGAAAUGAAGGGGGACAUGAAAUAUUUUUUGAUCCAAAUGCUUUGAGACAUUCUCCACAAUAGAUUGGACAAAUUGUGCCUUGUAACUACAUCAAAACGUAAAGUACAAUUUACGAUAAUUGCUAGUCUCUCUCUAAAGGAUAAAAAUAGACAUCAUUUAGCUAAGAAAUUAAAGCAGGUUGCAUGUCAAUGAUUGAUAGUUAAAUUUGUAGGUGCGUUAUCACCACCUACUAAAACCAAAUCAUGUUUGGAAAAAAAAAAAAAACAAACAAAAAAAAAAAGAAAUUAUAAGUAUUUUUUUUUCUUUUAUGUUUUCUUAUCGGUCUUCCUUUAAAUACUUAACUGAAAGAAAUUAAGAGUUCACGACCAGCACUCUAGUCUUAUGCUUUGUGUAGUUUAAUCAAGAGAUGCAACUUACCCAUCUCUUAAAUCCAUUCCAGCUAAAUCUGCAACUUCCUUCAAAGCAAUCCUCCACCCCUUCACCCGCUCUAUCUCCUCCUUGAAGCGCUUUUCUUGUUCCACAAAUGCUGCAGCGAAGCUCCCUGUUUGAUUUCUGACUUCAGAUGGAUUCACAUGGUAGAAUACCGGCAAAACUAUGGAGCCGGCAGUCCUCUUAUGUUCCAUGAUCUUUACAAGUUCAUCGAGGCACCAUCUCGACCGAGCAUAGUCUUUGGAGAACACGAUUAUCGAUAUUUUCGAUUCUUGUAUUGCCUUCUGGAGCUCCAACUCUAUAUUCUCUCCUCUCCGAAUCUCGUCAUCAUCUCUAAAUGUGUGAAACCCUGCUUGAACCAGGGCCCAGUAGAGGUGAUCGGUAAAGUUCUUGCGGGUGUCUUCACCUCUAAAACUCAAGAACACUUGAUAUUUACAAUUAGAAAACCGAGAAGAGUAGGAUUCUUGAUAUUUCUCAGCAGCCAUUUCGAGUCUAGCAAAGAUAAGACUUUACAAAGAUCUGGACAAAAAAAAAGAAAUUGCAGGAUUAAAGUCGAUAGUUCAAGAUCGACAGCACACCAAUAAGCUGAAGUGUUCAUAUAUUAUUAUCUUACUUUGUCUGUAAGACAAUUUUCAAGUUAUUUCCCAGCAAUCAACUCCUCCAUGCCCUUUCAGAAAAAUAUGUGUACAUAUGAUAAAUUUCUAUGCUGAACCACCAAAAUCGGUUGAUGAGAUCAUCAAUAAUUAGUUUCUAACAGUGAAUUAAUCUAAGUGAUUCUCAGUUACAGCAGAGUUACAUUCCACAAUAUAACAUAAUACUAAAUAGAUAAGAGAGAGAGAGUACCUGUAAUCUUCACUUUCCCUUCGCUGAUGUUCUCUUGUUAGUUCAUCAAUUUUCUGCUUUUAAGUCUCUGUGGUAUGGGCCAUUUCCGCGUUAGGACCUGUUUACUGGGGCCUGUAAUUCUUGUUACAAUUACCAAAAGGGACAUUAGACACACACAAAACACAUAAUCCCUCUCAUCAACUCACACGGUUCUUCUUCCUUCACCCACCAGUAAGAAAAAGGCACGUGCAGGAUCAAGCCUCUUCAUAUCUGACUUGGAAAGUUUAUUAGCCUGUAAUUUUGCAUCAUUUGAAUUGAUUCUAGCCUUUUCUUUCUGUUGAAAGCAAAGUAGAUAUAAGAAGAAUUACUCGGAAAAACAAAGCAAUUCCAUAGGUGAAAACAUGUCAGACUUGAUUAUAUUGGCAAAGAGUUGCUAGUGGGCACUCCGUAUAAAAUGCUGGCGAUGAUCAUGUUGGAAAUGCAGAGUGUUUAACUGAGAGUCCUGUCUUGAACUCUGAGGCUGAGAAACAUCAGUUGGUUUCUUCAAACUGGGACAACAACUACUAAAGAAGUAUGCAAAACUGGGGAAAGACAUACUGAAGAAUUUUGGAUGGUUAGAUCUCGGGAGGAAGGUUUAUCCUCGGGAGGAUGGAUUGCAUAUUCGACUUCCUAUCACUGAAGACCAAGAACACCCAUAAUUAUAGGAAGACUUCCAAAAAUAUUCAAUUUUUAUUCAUUUGUCAAAUCUAGAAUUUUUAAACUCAACCCGGUUCAAGGUCUUUGGUCACUAGGUUGCCUAGGUAAAUUUUGAUUUUUUUUUAAAAUCAAAACAUCAUUUUAGUAAGAAAAAAGUCAAUGAGUUGAAACUGGAUUUUUAACCAAGUUUUACCGGGUCAUCUCGGGUUUUGAUUUUUUCUAUUUUUUCUUAAACUCGGCUUGGUUCCAGCCCCGGGUCUCGGACCGGGUUUCAAAACUAUGAUCAAACCUAUUACAACCCUUUAUAUAGAAAUACUAAAAACAAAAACCCUUAUUAAUGUUAAAAAAAAAAAAUAGAAAAAUUAUUCUAUUCAAAUAGAAAAACUAAAAAAGCCCAGAAAUACAUAAUAGGAAAAGAAAAUAUAAAAAAAUAAAUUAACUAAAAAAAUAUUUAUUUCCAAUGAACUGGAUAGCAUGAAUUUGUUCAAUCAACUCGCCACCUAGUUUUUUAAAAACUCAAUCCAGAACAUUUCUCAACUUUCUCAAAUUGACUUGUAUAUAUUACACACACCCAACCUCUAACCCUCCCAUCUCUUCAUUUUUAUUAACUCAAACUCCUUUGUUUAUUGCUCUUGUAGGCUCAAGCUGAGCUGAACUCUGAACUAAGCUUAGUCCCGAGAAAACAGAGAAACUUCCCCCACACUUCCUCUCCUCUCAAAAACAAACCUCCCCAGUCCCCUCUCUCUCUCUCUUUCAUUAUCCAACAAUAUGGAUAGGCCACAAAGAAUAUCCACGAAAGAACCUCAAGCAAUCCUCUCUCCAUGCAGCAGUAGAAGUAGGAGACCAAGCAGUGAUUCAAACUCACCCGAAUUUGAGUUCUGGAUCCAAAACCCAUCUUUCCCUCAACCAAAUCUUGUUUCAGCUGAUGAACUCCUCCUUGUUGAUGGCGCCCUCCUCCCUCUCCACCUCCUCCACCACCCUGACCCUGACUCAACCGAACCCAAACCUCCCAACUCUCAAACUAACCCUGAACCCGAAAUUUCACCACCAAGCAUAACCAUGGAGCCAACAACAAGUUCCAAGAGUUGGGAAGGUACAAUAUUCAAGAAAGGUGACAGGAAAACUUCAACAGCUGCCAAGAAACAAGACGAGAAAAAUAAAGAAAAUGACAAAAAGAGAGACAGGAGUCAAAUGGAACGAGUUCAGCUAAGCUGAAUACCAACAUAUGGCCAUUUUCUUUUAGUUAGUUUACAGUAAAAAAGAAAUACAUAUAGAAAAAAAUAUAAAUAUAUUUAGUUGGAGAAACAAAAAUAUAAAAUAAAUCUAUUUUAGGAACAGUUUUAAAAUAAAUUUUUAUUUUUUUCAAAUAUGAGAUACGGGGAGAUAUCUCCUUCGUUCCCCCCUGUUCUCUGUUUCUUUUUUUCUCUUCGUUCCUCCCUCUUCUCUGUUUUUAUCUUCGUCCCUUCUGCCUCUCUUCCCUUCCUGUUCUGUGUUUGCUCUGUUCUUGCUCUUCGAUCCCCCUCCAUGUUCUUUUUUUUUCUUUUUUUUUAAAAAACCCUCCCUAUAGCCAGAGAAUGCCAUGCGGUUACCCAGAUAAUAAAGAGCUUAUGGGACUGUUAUUGCAGAAGUUUGAAAUUCUACAGAAGGUAACCUUGUGUAUGUGCAACAGCACAGGUCGAGCUUUUAAUACCUCCAUCACUGCCAUCGGGCCACUCCCACCGCCUCCUCCACUCAGUUCUUAAAAAAGAAGCAAAGAUGGGGUUUGUGAGGGUCUACACAAAACCACAGCUCUGCGGCGUUGGUCAUGCUCUUCAAGAUGAGGUUGCCGUCUAUUUCUCCUCAGACAUACUCAGCAAUUUCUUCAAGAUUUAAACCUGAAAUACUUUUAGCACUUGAUAUAGCUCCAACAGCCAACCAUUAAAAAGUCCAAGUGAUCAGAACUUUGUGGCUUUCGCGUCUCCUAGAACAACUGUUGCUGUCAAAAACCAGGGAAAUGAAAAACACAUUUCAAGAUCCUCAUAAUGUUGAUAAAAAGAGGGUCAAAAUGUUUGAGGUCAUGGGUGACAGUGCAGUGCUGGUAUAUGAAAACCAUGAUCAUGAUCAUUAAUCGAAAUCAUGAACAAAUUGCGUCUUUUGAUUCAGGAUAACGAGACUUUCAAACCAUGAUCUUAAAAUAACUGUUUUUUUAUGAAAAGAAAGAGUCUCAUAGGCAGUCAAAGUUAUUGGAUACUAUAGAAAAUUUUACGAUUUCCACUUUUUGUUAUUGAAUUUUAAUUCUAUCUUUUAAUUUGAUAAUUUUCAAUCAAAAUUAAUUUUUAAAUUUCUAAUUUUGAUAUUAAUUAUAUUUUAUUUUUACAAUAAAAAUAUCUAUGUUAAUUUAUUAUGAAAAUUUAAUAAAAUCCAUUCAAUUUUUAAUUAAAAUGAAAUAUAUUCAAAUUAUAAAAACCUCUCAAUUAUAUUUUAAAGACAUGCCUAUUUAUUUUUUAUUACAAGUGAACUUAUCUCGUGAGGAUAUAUAUAGAAACAAAAAAUUAAUUACCAAUUAAAUUUCAUCAUGUGUUACUUUUAUUUUUACAUAAAAAGAUGAAAUAAAAUAGAUAAAAUAACAUGAAAAAAAUGGACCUUUACAUAUAUUUUGGUCAAUAGAAAAUUGACACAUAAAAUAAGAUAUUUAAUACAUCUUAUUAUAAAUAUAAGAUUUUAUAAAUAAAAAUUAAUUAAUAAAAUAAUAUCAUAUUACAUUUUUUAAUAUGAAAGCCCUUAUAAAUAUUUAUAAAUAAAAGAUCUCAUGCUAGACAAAGAAAGGAGGAAGAUUACUAUUUUCUAGACCUUUCUUUGCAAAAUACCACCAACAGAUAUUGCGAGGACUGUAUUUACCAUGGAAAGCACAAUAAUAAUUUCUAAAAACACGAGAAGCUAUUUUUACUCUGGCUACAUCUUCCUUUGAUUGGAUAUCAUUUCCUUCCUCUUCAUGCAACCAUUGUACACCAACGGUCCUUAAUUGGAUAGCUGGACCAAGUGGACGCACUGAAAUACUCACGUCAUCACCAUUAUCAAAUGUAGGAUCAUUGCCCCCUAAUUUCAUGUGCAAUAGCGAUUGGAUUUCACGAACACCACGCUUGUAUAUCAUAGAGAUGACAAAGGCUCGACGAAGCAUGGAUAGACCACUGGUAUUGUUUCUGAUUUCAAUAUAAACAUAACUAAAGCCACGGUAUACUGACGUCACACAACUUAUGAACAGAUUAUAGCCACAUAUCUUGUGCGCAGGAGGUGAUGAGGAUAUUUUGAAUGAAAAGUUAUCUACAAACUCAUUCUGAAUUAGCCAUUUAUCCUCUUCUUCCUCCUCGUAAAACCACCUUGACUUCUCUUCUUCAUCAAAUACAGAUGCGACAACGUUGAAUACGCCAUCUGUAAAUAUUAUCUGUACCACCAAAACAAUGUCUAUAAAAUGAGCAAAAGAAAAGUAUUCAAAUGUAGAUUUCCAAAACAAUAAAAUGGGUAAGGGAGGACCUGCAAUCUUGAUGUCUGUAUUUGAGCACUAACUGUUUCCAUUGUUCUGAACAUGUGAGAGUCAAAUAUUUGGAUUAAAUCUUGCUUUAUCCGAUCUUGAAACUCGACUAAGUGAACUGGCUUUCCAAGGUAUUGCAGUGAAUAGCAAGAGGCCACAUCUAACGAAUCCAAAUGGGGUGGAAACUCUGGGAGUGCCUGAAGCAUUUUGCAAUUUCUUAAAUAUAGGGCUCUGAGGAGACCAAGAUCCUUGAUGCUUUCUGGAAGAAAACGAAUUGGAGUUCCACUUAAAUCUAGACUCUCCAAUAAGCGUGGCAGUGAAAACAAGGUAAAUCUCAACAUUUUCCUCGUUGAAAACCUAGAGGAAAAAGAAUAGCUUCAAUGGAAGGGUUGAAAUGAAUGAUGUAGUUGCAACAAUUCCAUCACUUUGAAGCAACUUGCGCCCCUGUUGAUGCUCUAACUCCAUAUUCAGGCUACCAAGAUUUGAGCAACCAUCUAAAACCAGCUCUUGAAGUGAAUUCAAUCUACUCAUUUCUUUUGGAAGCUCCAUAAGACUUGUACAAUUUCUUAUAUUUAAGAUCAACAAUCUUUGUAAAUCACCAAUAGAUUCGUGAAUUUGAACCAAACGGAUGCAGUCUUCAAGUAUUAGCUUUUCAAGGGCUGGGAGACCCGAGAAGUCUGGGGUUCUAAUGAGAUCACGAGAGUGACGGAGAUCAAGAAUUUUCAAUUUUGGAAGAAACUGUGAAAAUACAUGAAUUUAGUUAUUAUCAAUUGAAAACGAGAGAGAUAGCUAUAGAGAGACUUGAUACAUACCGGUUUGGCCUUCCAAGCAUCAACUAGACAGCUUCUGGAUAGAUCAAGAACCACCAGCUUCUCCAAGCAUAUGUGAUUUGGUAUGGAGCUCCAAGACAAACCAUGCCAACAUAACCAUAUCAAAUUCUUGGGAAAGUGCUCAAAACUUCCAUGAAAAUUAGUGUAGUUUAGUUGGAGAAAUUUUACAUCUGGCAUCUUUCUAAAAGCAUCCGUGCUGAGGAUGGGAAACAAACUUGUUUGGCCAGUUUGUAAUUUUCCUCCAUCAGAAAAAUCGGAAAGCCAUUGUUGAAAGAAGUUAAGCCUGCGGCGCUUGCGACAAACCAUUGAAUCAGUACAGACAACUUCUGCAUAAUGAUAUUCCAUUAAUGAAUGCAUAUCAAUGGUAAGGCCACGCAUUUUUUCAGCAUCCUGCAUAAUAAUAUUAAAAAGUACAUGAGAAAGGAAAGUAGAUGAAUGAAUAUGUCAAGGCACCACAAACCAUUUAAGUAGACAUUUAAAAAAAUUUAGCUACUUACAGUAGUUCCUUUCAAAACUGUAAAAGCAUCCCCAUGAUGCCAUAUUCUUUGCCAUUUGGGUGAUUCUUGACGAGCAAUUUCCCUACCCAUAUCUCUUACUAGUUGAUGCAUCCACAACCUUUGAUCACUGUUGAUUUCAACAAGACAUCUAUCGAUGAGAUUGUCAAUCCCAAAUCUUGCACCUCUAUCAAGCCCAUCCAGUAUCCUAACUGCAUCAUCCACAUCCAUUCCAUUGAAGAAACAUGUGAUGUCAAGGAAUAAGUUCUUCGGAUAAUCACCAUCAAGAAAGUCGUAACUUAUUCGAAGAACCUUUUGAACUUCAAAAUUAGGAAUCACUUCCAUUUGUUGUAAUGCGCUUUCCCAUAUCUCUCUUCCUUUUCCAGACAAUGAAGAGCCAAUAACUCCAAGAGCUAAUGGAAGUCCAUUACAAUGAUGUACUAUUCUCCAAGAGUCUUCUACAAAACCAUCAACAGGGUCAGCUUGUCCAAAGGCAUUCCAACUGAAAAGCUCAAGUGAUUUUUCAUCAUCUAGCGGUUCAACUUUGCACCGGACCCCCUCAAUAUCAUUAGCUGAAAACAGACCCUUAUUUCUGGUUGUUACAAUGAUUUUACUUCCUUUACAAAGCCAAUUUUGCAUGCCAAUGAUUUUAUUGAAUUGGUCCCUUUUGUCCACAUCAUCUAGAACAAUAAGAGUUCUUCUGCAACAUAAUGCAUCCUUAAUCUUCAGAAUUCCUUCAUCAGAAUCAUUUAUCUCAACAGUCUUGUUUAGGAUGUCGAAAAGAAGUUGCCUCUGUAGGCAAACUAUAUCCUUUGACCUAAAAUUUGAUAGAAAGCUCUUUCCUUCAAAUUUAUAAAAGUUCUGGUUAAAAACACUCUUAGCUAUGGUUGUCUUUCCAACUCCACCAAUUCCAUAGAGUAAAGCAAUGGCAGCACCAUGGGACCCAUCUUGCAACCAUGAGUUGAUAUCUUGUACUAGAGGAUCUCUUCCAAUGAAAUGAGGGGGUACAUGAAACAUUUUUUGAUCCAAAUUCUUUAAGACCUUCUCCACAAUAGAUUGGACAAACGGUGCCUCGUACCUACAUCAAAAAGUAAAAUACAAUGUACGAUAAUUAGUAGUCUCUCUAUAAGCAAUAGAAAUAAACAACAUUUAGCUAUGAAAUUAAAGCAGGUUGUGUGUCAAUGAUUUGAUAGUUUAAACCAAAUCAUGAUUGGAAAAAAAAACAAUGAAGAAAUCAUGAGUAUUUUUUUUUUUUGUUAUAUGUUUUCUUAUCAGUACACUUAACUGAAAGAAAUUAAGAGUUCACAACCAGCAUUCUAGUCUUAUGCUAUGUAUUGUUUCAUAAAGAGAUACAACUUACCCAUCUCCUAGAACCAUUCCAGCUAAAUCAGCCACUUCCUUUAAAGCAAUCCUCCACCCAUUCACCCGCUCCAUCUCCUCGUUGAAGCUCUUUUCAUGUUCCACAAAUGCUGCAGAGAAGCUCCCUGUUUGACGUCCGACUUGGGAUGGAUCCACAUCAUAGAAUACUGGCAAAACUAUGCAGUCAGCAUUCCUCUUACGUUCCAUGAUCAUUACAAGUUCAUCCAGGCACCAUCUCGACGAAGCAUAGUCUUUGGAGAACACGAUUAUCGAUAUUUUUGAUUGUUGUAUUGCCUUCUGGAGCUCGAAAUCUAUAUUCUCUCCUCUCCGAAUUUCAUUAUCAUCUCUAAAUGUGUGAAUCCCUGCUUGAACCAGGGCCGUGUAGAGGUGAUCGGUAAAGUUCUUGCGGGUGUCUUCACCUCUAAAACUCAAGAACACUUGAUAUUUACAAUUAGGAAACCGUGAAGAGUAGGAUUCUUGAUAUUUCCCAGCAGCCAUUUCGAGUCUAGCAAAGAUAAGACUUUUCAAAGAUCUGAACAAAAUAAAACAGUUUUCAAGAUUGAGAGAGAAAGGGUGGAUUGUUAAUUUAAGACAAGUCAUCCCCACAAGUCCACUCUCUCUAUGGUAUGGAACGUUUCCGCGUGAGGAAUUUUCCAUGGCUAAUUAAUGUCUAGGCUUGACCAGUUAUGCAUGGAAAAUUUUGCAUGGAAAGUUUUGGUGCCGGGAAUUGAUGGCUAUUGACAUCGUGAAGUAAGAAUCAAGUUAGAAAAAUAUAAUUAAUAGGAGAAGUUUAUGGCUAUUCACAUCAUUUCGGCCAAAAAUUCUAUCGAAAAAUUAAGGGGUAAGAAACCCAGACGAUAAGGAUUGCAUAAUGACAUAACAGAAAACCAUGUGAAUAGAUCAAAGCCACAUAUCCACUGGAUAUUUUGAAUGACAAGUACGUACUCUACAAACUCUUUCUAAAGUAGCCACUCCUGUUCUUCCUCCUCGUGAAACCACAUUAACAUCUCAUUUUCAUCAUAUUCAAGGACAAUGUUGAAUCUGUUGCCCUAAAGUUGUAUCUGUUCCAUCAAAGCAGAAUUUAUAAAAUGAGCGAAGGGAAAAUUUUCUAGAUAUACAAGAACAAAAAACGUAGAGUUUAAAUAAAGCAGAACUUAUAAAAUGAACAACGGAUUAAAUUUUGGAAGAGACUGUGAAAACACUUGAAAUCGGUUGCUGUCCAUUGAAAAUAAAAGAGACUAGAUACAUAACGGUUUGCCUUUCCAAGCAACAAUUAGACUGGUUCUGGAUUAGAUAAAGAGCCACAAGCUUCUCUAAGCAGAAGUGCUUUGGUUUGGAUCAUGUAAAAACCCAACCCUUUUAUUUUAAUUUAUUAUUAUUAUUUUCCUUGAAAAAAAAAUAAAUGAAGAAUGAAUUAAAAUUUAGAUUAACAGCAAGUACAAGUUUUGGGAUUUAAUUAAACUUUGUAUUAGUUUUAUUAACCAAAUUAAGAAUUUAAUUGAGGAAUUGAUAAGUUUGGGACUUAAUUGAACUUCAAAUUAGUUAAUUAAUGAAAUCAAGAGCUUAAUUAAAUAAAUAUCAAAGUUUAGGGUUGAUUCUAGGUAAAAUUGCAAGAAAUUAAAAUUAAAGGACCCAUUUACAAUUGGCGUUGACAUGUAGGAGUCCAAUUAAAGUUUAUCCAGGAGCUUGCUUACAAAUCUUUCAGACCAAAACGAAAAUGGCCAUCAACACUGUUCAUCUUCUUCAGCGAACCAAACCAGAAACGGACUCCCCACGAUCCCAAUUACUCCUGCAAUAACAACGGUCGGUCGCCUCAUUAUUUAGAGGCGACUGCAUGGCAUUCUCUGGCUUUAUAAAAAGCCAGAGAAAGACCAUGCACACGGGGGACUGGGGGAAGGAGAAACGUAAAGAAGAACAGGAAAAAAAAAAAAAAACAGAAGAGAGAAACAAGGGAUGACAGAGAAGAGAUUGAAGAUAAAAACAGAGAGAAAGAACGAACAUCAGUGAAAAACUAAAGGGACGCCCUUGUCUUCUUCUUUGGUGGCAGCUCCAAAAGCUCCAUUUUCAGCAGCAAAGGUUAUUGCUUGAGAAGACCAAAAAAUACAGAGGGAAGAACUGGAAAAGGGAACAAACCAGGGGACUAAGGAAAAACCAAAAGAACCCGGGAAGGAAACAGAGGUAGAUACCCGGGGAGGACAAAGAAAAAAAAAAGCAGCCGAACAGAGGAGAGGGAGUGAAAGUAGGAAACACAGAAUCCGCAGAGAAGAACAGAGCAUAUACGGGGAGACUAAAAGAAAAAUAGAGAAAAACAAACACAGGCAAAGGUUGCACCGAGAGAAAGCAAAAGAAAAGAAAGAACCAGAGGAAAAGUAAACGAAAGGAGGAACAGCACGCCAUCGCCUUCAUCCUGCUCCCAGGUAAGUGUCUCCAAUUUUGCAAAAUAAUUCACCAACACUGUGUAUUAGAGAUUUAAUUACAUGGAAACUGUAGUGUCGCACCCCAAAAAAUAACAAAAAAAAAAUUUGUUUUUUGCGACAUUCGACUGGCGACUUUCGUUUUGUUCUUUUUUUGCUGAUUUGGUUCUUUGGAGUCGCCACCUAGUAUUUUGGUCACUAGGAACCCUAACUGGUCUUUCAGAGAUUCUAAGGCAAGGGACUGGUUGCGUAAAGGGAAGGUAUUAGCACCCCUAGUACGCCCUAUCUAAGGUAAGCUGUUUGGUGUUUUGGUUUGCUCUAUAAUUGCUAUGGUGUUGGUAUUUUCUAGACUCGUCAAUUGAUUUUGGAUAGAAAUCUAAGGAGAUUCCAUGUGCUUUAAAAGCUCAUUUUUCCCUUAGUAUUUCAAGAGUUUGCGACUCAUAAAUCGUGGAAAUAAAAAAAAAUUAAAAUUUUAAAAUGUCCUCGAUUAUAAUCAAGGCUUCUUUCAAGAAUAUGUGCGGAUUUAUUACUCCCGAUAAUAUUUUGGAUAUUCAUCAUUUUAAGGAUUUCUUUAUCCAAACAUUAGCGGUGAAUAAUAAAUAAAUUUCCUCCCCAAAAAUAAGAUUUUUAUAGUUUUUGGAAUAUUGGUCAAUACCCUUUGAAGUUUUACAAACAUGUUGUAAAAUCCAGAAAUGCAAGAAAAUAAUUUGUGUUUAAGAAAUCUAUGCGAAAACACACUUUCGAAGCUUCCAAUAUAUUUUUUUUUAUAAAAAGAACAUUCAAAACAUGUUAGAGUAUUGGCCGUAUGCAGCACGCAACAAAACAUUUUUUUUUGUAAACAAUAUAUUUUUUUUUUGACGAAAUCGAGUAUUUUAAUACUGAAUUUGUAUCUCCACAGCAUAAAAAAUACAAACUAAUAUUAAGUCAUUUAAAAAAAAUGUACGGAAAAAAUCAACAAUAUUUUUAAGGAAUUUUAGAAUUUUUUUUUUAAAGCAAAAAAAAUUUAUCUUUGAAAAUUUUGGGUGUCUCGACGAAAAUCAGAUAUUUUAAAUACUGAAUUUAUACCUCCACAAUAUAAAAAAAUACAAACCCCCUUAAAAAAAAAAUAUAUAUAUAUAUAUAUAUGAAAAGAAAACAACAACAUUUUUUAGAUUUUUCAAAUUUUUUUUUUUUAAAAAAAAAUAUAUAUAUAUAUAUAUAUAUAUAUACACACACAUAAUAUAAUAUAAUAAUAUAAUAUAAUUAUAAUAUAUUAAUAUAUUAAGGGGGCUGGGCCGGCCCAAAUAAAUGGGCCAGGCUCAGCCCAAAAAAAAAAGGGCCGACCUCGGCCCAAAAUUAAAUUGGGUCGAUCUCGGCCCAAAAACUUCUACAGUCUGGGCCAGGACCGACCCAGACUUGCAAGGCUGGGCCAGCACCCUCGGCCCAGCGGAGGGAAGAAUUAAUUUUCUUCCCCCCGCUUCCUGCAUGCAGGAGGCAACGCCUGCUUCGAAAGCAAAGAGGGAAGAAGAAGAUGUACCUGGCGUGGAGGAGGCGGUCGCUGGUGGUGCUGCGGUGGCGUGGCUCGUGGACGGCGGCGCUGCGGCUGUUUCCAAGUGUUCGGUUCGCUCUCUCUCUCUCCUCCCUUCUCCCUGUUUCGGUUCUCUCUUUUUUUCUUUUGUUUUCAGUUUAGUUCCAAUAUUCCCUUCUCUCUCUCUCGUGCGUGCUCUCUCUUUUCCUCCCUUCUCGGUUUGUUGUUUUUUUUCUUUUUUGUUUCCCCGGUCCUCCCUUUUUCUUCGGUUUUCCUUCCUAUUUAUAGGGGCGAAAAGACGAUGCCUUUUGCUAGUGCGCCUUGGGAGUAAAUCACGCAACGGCUGGUCGGCCAUUGACGCGUUCGGUGGUGAUGGUGGGGGCGAGGAGAGAGAGGCGGGAAGGUUUGAAAACGGAUUUCUUCUUCUUUUGCAGGUUCGGGGGGGGAAGAAGAAGAGGAACAGUGUCGUUCAAAACGACACCGUUCCGGUCUCUUCUUUUUUUCUUUUUUUCUUUAACAUGAAACGGCGUCGUUUUGGACAAAACGCGCCGUUUCAUUAAAACAGGGCGCCAACACGCGCCAAACUUCAAAUCAGCCCUCAAUCAUCUUUAAUUCAUUUCAAUUGCAUCCCUGCCAAUUCAGUCCCCGUCCCUCUUGUUGGCCGCGUUUUUCACUUUGGUCCUUGGCCUCUGAUUUAUGCAAUUAAGCCCUCAAAUUGAUCAAUAAACUUCCAAUUUCUUCAAUUAGGCUCCUGAUCCAAAGCAAAACUGCCCCCUCUAUUUACCUGGUUUUUCCAAAUUGAUCCCUGGUUUCGGUUUUUCACAAUUAAACCCCUAAUUGGCCAUUAAACUUCAAUAUUUAUUCAAUUAAGCCCCUGAUUUGGCCUAAUAAAUUCCUAAAAAUAUAUAUAUUGGCCCCAGAACUUAAAUUUCUUCUAAUUAAAGCCCAAAUUGACUUAAAAAUCAAUUUUUCUUGCAAUCAAAUCCCCUAUAAAAUCAAUUAAAAAUCCAAUUAAGUCCAUAAACAUCCAAACUUGGGCUUUUCUCCUCAAAAUUCAAAUUUCCUUCUCAACAGGGCUCUCAUCCUUCAAGAAUAUACUGUCAAAAAUUCAAUCCUUGUAUUUUUAAAUUCCUUGACCAAUUUUCUGACUGUUUUCUGAGCGCUUCUGCCUCCUGUUAUUUUUUCUAACCUCUUUUGGCUAUUUAUAUUAUUUUUCAUGGGGACCAAUUCACACAUGUUUGUGGGUAAAAACCUAACCCAAAAAAAUAAAAAUAAAAAUAAAAAUAAACAACUAAAAUAAAAUAAAAUAAAUGUAUGCAUGCAUGCAUACAUAAAAAAUAAAUUUGGUUUAUUGGUUUAUUUACUGAUAUUAGAAUCAUAAAUAAAAAUACUUAUUUAAAUUUAUUUUAUUAUAUUUUGUUAUUAUUAUUUUCUAGCUACGUAAUAUUUACUAACGCCAGAGUUGAAAAUAUUUAUAGAUGAAUAUUCACUGAUGCUAUUGUCGGGAAUAUUACAAGCAAACCAUCAGAGCAUAAACCAAUAAAUUUUUAGGAAUUUAAGAUAAAAUCAACAAUGCAACCUGUCAUAGACAGAAAGUUUAAGAGCUGAUAAUAUCUUCUCUUUUAUAUAACCAGUUUUGUACCAUAAAAUCUCUGUUGACUAGUUAGGGUUCUUAGUGACCAUAAUACUAUAUGACAACUCUUUAAACAAGAUCAUUACCCAUAAAAAAACAAGAUGUUAAAUGUCUGUUUUUUUUUCUUAUAAAAUUUCAUUUUUACAUGGUCGCGCGAAGUCCAAUGUGACAUAUCUUAAAGGGAAUCCAUGCCAACAUAACUACAUCAAAUUCUUGAAAAGUGUUCAUAACUUCCAUAGAACUUGUGUAAUUUAGCUGGAGAAAUUUUACAUUUUACAUCUUUCUAAAUGCAUCCGUGCUGAGGACAAGAAACAAACUUGUUUGGUUAAUUUGUACUUGUUCCCCCAAGAAAAACUCAGAAAGCCACUAUUGAGAGAGGAGUGUAGGAAGAAGACACUGUUGAAAGAAGUUAAGCCUGCAGCGGUUGCAGGCGCACCAUUGAAUCAGUACAGACAACUUCUGUACUUAUUCAUGCAUAUACAAGGUACGUAAGGCCACACAAUUUUUCAGCAUCAUGCUUCCAAAAUAUUGAAAGUAAAUGAGAAAAGAAAGUAAAAGCAUGAACAUUUUAAGACACCUAAUACCAUGAAGAUAGGAAAACAGAACCAGUUACUCUUACACUUGUUUCUUUCAAAACUGUAAAAGCUUCCAUGUGUGAUGCCAUAUUCUUUGACAUUUGGGUGAUUCUUGACGAGCAAUUUCUCUUCCCAUGUCUCUUACAAGUUGAUGCAUUUAUAAAUUUUUUUCAUUUUAUUUUAACAAUUUCUACAAGACAUCAAUCGAUGAGAUAAUCAAUCCUAAAUCUUGCAUCUAUACCGAACCCAUCAAGUGUCCUAACUGCAUAAUUCUCAUCCAUUCCAUUGAAGAAAUAAGCAAUAUCAAGGAAUAAGUUCUUCUGAUAAUCAUCAUCAGGAGAGUUCUAACUUUUUGCAAGAACCUUUUGAACUUGACAAUUUGGAAUCACUUCCAUUUCAUGUAAUGCGCUUUCCCAUACUUUUCUGGUUUUACUAAAAAAUGAAGAACCAAUAGCACAAAGGGCUACUGGAAGUCCAUUACAAUGAUGUACUAUUCUCCAAGAUUCCUCUAUAAAAUCUUCAACUGGGUAAGCUUGUCCACAGGCAUGCCAACUCAAAAGAUUAAGUGAUUUUUUGUUAUCUAGAGGUUCAUCUUUGCACUUGACACACUCACCAUCAGCUACAAUCAAAGCCUUAUUUCUAGUUCUUACAAUGAUUUACUUCCUUGGCGAAGCCAAUUUCUAGUUCUUACAAUUUCUAGUUCUUUCAAAACUAUAAAAGCUUUCAUGUGAUGCCAUAUUCUUUGACAUUCGGGUGAUUCUUGACGAGCAAUUUCCCUUCCCAUAUCUCUUACGAGUUGAUGCAUUUAUAACUUUUUAUCAUUUUUUAUUUUAACAAUUUCUACAAGACAUCAGUCGAUGAGAUAGUCAAUCCUAAAUUCUAGUUCUUACAAUUUGCACUUGACACACUCACCAUCAGCUACAAUCAAAGCCUUAUUUCUAGUUCUUGCAAUGAUUUACUUCCUUGGCGAAGCCAAUUUCGCGUGCCAACAAUUGCAUUGAAGUGGUCCCAUUUGUCCACAUCAUCAAGAACAAUAAGAUUUCUUCUGCAACAUAACGCAUCCUUAAUAUAAUCCCUCCAUCAACAUCAUGUAUGUCAUCAGCAUUGUUUAGGAUAUCUGAAAGAAGUUGCCUCUGUAGGCAAACUACACCAUUGGAUUCUUUUGACUAUUCUCUAACAUUUGAUGGAAAGAUCCUACCUUCAAACUUAUGAAACUGCUGGUUAUAAACACUAUUUGCUAUGGUUGUCUUCCCUACUCCACCAAUCCCAUAGAGUAUAUCAAAGGCAGAACUGUGGGAGCCACAUUCUUCCAACCAUAAGUUGAUAUGUUUUACUAGAGGAUCUCUUCCAAUGAAAUAAAGAGGGAUAUGAAAUAUUUUACGAUCCAAUUUCUUUGAGACCUUGUCGACAAUAGAUUGGAAAAGCUGUGCCUCAUGCCUGCAUCAAAAAGAAAAAUGCAAUAUAUGAUAAUUAGUAAGUCUCUCUGUAAAGUUUCAAAAUCUUAGUAUCUUUGAAAAAAGAAAUUAAACCAGCAUUCUUUUUUUUAGUUGAUCAUUUUGAAUUUUUUUUUUGUUCGAUUUGUUUAUUGUUGUUGUCUAUUUUUUUUAAUUAUAUUAUUAAAUUAAUUAUAUUUAUUGAACUAAGGCAACUUAACAACCUAAGUCUUUAAUUAUUUUUAUUUAAAAAAAAAACCACUAUCAUCACCUCAACAUCUUUUUUACAUUGAAAAAAACUUUGCCCUGUAAUACAGUUCAGGUAAAUAAUCUAGUUACAGCUAAUCACGUGGCCACAAAGCCCCACUGGGAUUCAUAUUCCAUAAGAUGGCUCCAAUAUUCAUUCGAUGGUGUGUAUGGUAGGCUAGACAUGUGAAGCCCAUUAAUUGAUUCUGUCCAUAUUAUUUAUGUUAACCCGACCCGGUUGUGCUUUUUGAAGGUCCACCAGGCUUGUUCCCCUGUUCAGAUCUUAGCAAAAAAAUAUUGAGUGAUCGAUCUACAUGAGCAAUUUUGUUUGUUGCGUUAGCCAUGUUUCUUAUUUGUCAUGCAUGCUGUAAGGGGCAUUGGAAACCCUUUUAUACACAUGAAUUACUCGCUUCAGGAUGAGGAAAGUUUUAUAGCUUGUGGAUUUGAUUGAUUCCCAAUGGAGAAAGAAAAUCACUCAGAUUUUGUUGCAACUGGUCAAUACGGAAAAGACAUGCCUGUUGCAUAUGGAGAAAGUGAACGGUUGUUGGGAAAAGUUUUCUCACUUGCAGGAGAUAACUUGGAGGCCAUCGUGCAAGAGAUAAACCCACUUCCUUUCAGUAUACUCAAACCUUGGAUUCUAAUUCAAAUAGAAUCUUUCCACAAUUCAAUCUCAAGAAGGCCAUCGUUACGCACUCAUCAUGGUGCUUUGGAGACCAGAGGCAAUUUUCACUUCUUCACCUUCUCCAUAUGCUCUACAAAACUUCCUUUCCGGGAUCCUUGCUCCUUGGUUGCAGAGGAGAAAGCAUCUAGCAGUGAUAAUGAGAACUCUCCUGCAACAAAGGGUACUGGAGAGUUUCAAAAGAGGAUUUGUGAUAAAGGCACCAUGAAGGAGAAACGUGGAAAGCCAGUGGUUGCUUCAGAUAGACCUGGAAAAGGGGACAAGCUACACAAGCACAAUAUCCACCAUAGCGACGGUGCCAAAUAUAUGUCAUACUUGAAGAUAAGCAAGAAGCAGCACCAACUUGUUAAGAGCCUGAAGCAAUCCCAGUAAAAAAAAAUUCAAUCUAAACCUCUUAACUGUGCGUUAGGUGACCUUGAUAAUUUGCAUGUACAACCAUAUAAAGAAUUUGUGAAAGAGGAACAUAAGAAGUUGCAGGAGCAUUGGAUACAAUUGGCAAACGAAGAUCGUUCUGCAGCAUAUGCAGGCUGUGUUUCGGGAUCAGAUUGAUUAAGGUGCAAACAAACAUGGAGGAUGUGCUGGAAUAAUAAUGGAGCAAGAAACAAAGAAAUCGACAUUUCUGACUCUAUGGCAAUUCUGGUUUUAAUUAUCUCCCCACAGGAUCAGUCUCUGCAGUUUAUUUCUGUUGUUCAAAUGGUAUUUAGAAAACUUAGCUUAAUCAAAGAACAAAGGGCAUAACAAGAACAUCUAGGUUACUGUCAUCCCUCAAAUUUAUUUAUAUGCAAAAUAAAAAAUUACAAGAUCUUUAUCAUAAAAAAAAGAAUCAUAACAACCAUAAUUCCUUUCAUCUAAGGGAUUACAUAACUACAUAGACUUAUUCUAAAUCAAAAAAAAAAUAUCUAGAUAAACUCAAGUCUAAAAAUCAGAACAUAAAAAAAUACCAUAACAUAUAGAUAAAUAUGGCUGAAAACUAGCUGAUAACAAUUUCCUCCCUUUCUGUUGGCUACGAUCCUAAUCCUAUGUAUAUGAAUAUGGAAAAUAAUCAUGUCCAUUUAAACUCUGAUUCAGAUGAAGCUUCUCCACAUGUAUUUGAGUACUUCUGCAGCAUGCAUGUUGCUGAUGCUCCCAUUGAUCAGGGAGUCCCUAUCUCUUCUUCUAGUGGACAUGUUUGGUCAGCAGUUAGCAUACCCAGUUCAUAUUAACAUCUACUGGUGGAUUGUCACAGACACAUCAAGUUAAUGAACAGCAACGUUCCUAUUCGAUUGAUUUGGAAUUGAAAGUGCAUGAAGAAGACACCGGGAAAGAUUUGAUGCACGGAGAAUCUGAUGAUGGCCUUCUUAACUACUUCGAUGAGGCAAAAUAUGAUUUGGUUUGUGAGGGUGGUGUUAUUUUUACACUUGGCCAAGGACACUGACUCACAAAUCAAAUUGGCCUGCUUCAUACAAAAAAUUGAUGCAAAUUCAUAGCUGUACACUGAGUGCCAAAUUAUUUUAGGUUUUAAAAAGCUUUCAAUAUAACACCAAAUCUAAAACAAAUUCAACUCAGCCCAUCAUUAUUUUCACAUUUAAUUUCUUUUCAAAAAAACACAUAAUAAUUUCGUUAUCAAAAUCAUAACGGUCACUGCAAUAAUAAUUUCUAAAAAUAUGAGAAGCUAUUUCUGCUUUAGCUGCUACAUGUACAUCAUCACUAGUGUUUGAUGAGCUGCUAUCAUCAGUUCCUUCCUCUUCAUGCAACAUUCGUACACCAACCCUCUUUAUUUGAACAACCGGAUCAUCUGUAAACACUGAAACACUGAAUUCAUCACCGGUAUCAAACACAGGAUCAUUGGACCCAAAUUUCCAAUAGCUUAGCCAUAACAAUUCAGAUUUUUGAGCUGAAAAUUCUAUCGUAAAAAUUGAGGGGUAAAAAACCCAGAAUCUACCCUUGGUAUUGUUCCUGAUUUCAAGAUAAACAUGAAGAUACGGAUUGGAUACUGGCGUAGCAGAAAACCAUGUGAAUAGAUUAAAGCCACAUAUCCGGUGUGUAGCAGGUGAGGAUAUUUUGAAUGACAAAUGCGAUUCAAACUCUUUCUCAAUUAGCCCUUCCUCCUCAUAAAACCCCAACAUCUAAUUUUCAUUAUAUUCAAGGACAACAUUGAAUCUGUUGCCCUGAAGUUCUAUCUGUUCCAUCAAAGCAUAAAUUAUAAAAUGAGCAAAGGGAAAAUUUUCUAAAUAUCCAAGAAGUACAAAAAUGUAGAGUUGAAAUACAGUAAAAUGGGCGAGGGAGGAACUGAAAUCUCCAUGUCUGCAUUUGAACGCUGACCAUUUCAAUUAUUCUCAACAAGUGUGGGUCAACCUUUUGGGUUAAUUCUAGCUUAAUCAAAUCUUGCUUCUGAACUAAUUGAUCACAAUCACGAGCUAUGGUAAAAGGGAUCAGAUUUGCAAUUCUUUGCAGCGAAUAACAAUAGGACAUGUCUAACGCAACCAAACUGGAUGGAAGCUCUAGGAGUGUUUGAAGCAUUUUGCAUUCCGCUAAUGAAAGGUAAUUGAGUGUACCAAUGUCCUUAAUGCUUGGUGGCUUGGUGGAAGAAAACAAAUUGGAGUUCUACUUAAAUUUAGUGUUGUCAAGGAGUGUGGCAAUGUGAACGAGGUAAAUCUGGAAUUUUUCAUUUCUAAAAACCUGGAGGAAAAGAAUAGCUUCAAUGGAAGAGAUGUAAUUUAAGAUGUGCUUGCAACAAUUCUAUCACUUUGAUGCAUCCUGCGUCCCUGAUGAUGCUCUAAAUCUAUAUUCAAGCUCUCAAGUUUUGAGCAACCACACAAAAUUAACAAGCUCUUCAAGUGAAUUCAAUCUCCUCAUUUCUUCUGGAAGUUCCACAAGACUUUUUCAAUUCUUCAUAUUUAAGAUCACGAGACAAUGUAAAUCACGAAUAGAUUCAUGAAUCUGGACUACAUGGAUGCAGUUUUCAAGUAUUAUCUUUUCCAGGCCUGGGGAUCCAGAGAAGUCUAGGGUUCUGAUAAGGUCAUGCAAGCUAUGCAGAUGAAGAAUUUUCAAAUUUGGAAGAGACUGUGAAAACAAUUACAUGUAGUGGUUAUCAAUUGAAAAUAGGAGGUGUAGCUAUAUAGAAAGAGACUAGAUACAUACCAGUUUGCCUUUCCAAGCACCAAUUAGACUACUUUUGGAUAGAUCAAGAACCACAAGCUUCUCCAAGCAAAAGUGUUGUGGUAUGGAUCUCAAAGAGAAUCCAUGCCAACAUAACCAUAUUAAAUUCUUAGGGAAGUGUUCAUAACUUCCAUAGAACUUCAUGUAAUUUAGUUGGAAAAAUUUUACAUUUUGCAUCUUUCUAAAAGCAUCCGUGCUGAAGAUGGAAGACAAACUUGUUUAGCCAAUUUGUACUUGUUCCCCCAAGAAAACUUAGAAAGCCAUUCCUGAGAGAGUUUUUGUACGAAGACGACAUUGUUGAAAGAAGUUAAGCCUGCAGCUAGCCAUUGAAUCAGUACAGACAACUUCUGUACUAUUAUCUUUUAUGAAUGCGUGCAUAUCUAGGAUAAGGCCACGUAAUUUUUCAGCAUCAUGAUUCCAAAAUAUUAAAAGUAUAUGAGAAAAGAAAGUAAAAGCAUGAACUUUUUAGGAUGCCUUAAUACAAUGUAGAUAUGAAAACAAAACUAGAUACUUACACUUGUUUCUUUCAAUACUGUAAAGGCUUCCAUGUGAUGCCAUAUUCUUUGACAUUUGGGUGAUUCUUGACGAGCAAUUUCCCUUCCCAUAUCUCUUAUGAGUUGAUGCAUCCAUAACUUUUUAUCAUUUUUUAUUUUCACAAUUUCUACUAGACAUCUAUUAAUGAGAUUGUCAAUUCUAAAUCUUGCACCUAUACCGAGUCCAUCUAGUAUCCUAUUUGCAUAAUUGUAAUCCAUUCCAUUGAAGAAACAAGCAAUAUCAAGGAAUAAAUUCUUCUGAUAAUCAUCAUCAAGAGAGUUGAUCCAUCUAGUAUCGUAACUUGUUGCAAGAACCUUUUGAACUCGAAAAUUCAGAAUCACCUCCAUUUCAUGCAAUGCACUUUCCCAUACUUCUCUACUUUUUUCUGGACAAUGAGGAACCAAUAACAUGUAGGGCCAAUGGAAGUCCAUUACAAUGACGUACUAUUCUCCAAGAGUCUUCUAAAAAAUCUUCAACCGGGCGAGCUUGUCCAAAGGCAUGCCAGCUGAAAAGCUCAAGUGAUUUUUUGUUAUCUAGAGGUUCAGCUUUGCACUUGACACACUCACCAUCAGCUACAAUCGAAGCCAUAUUUCUAGUUGUUACAAUGAUUUUACUUCCUUGGAAAAGCCAAUUUUGCAUGCCAACAAUUGCAUUGAACUGGUACCAUUUGUCCAUGUCAUCGAGAACAAUAAGAGUUCUUCUGCAACACAAUGCACCCUUAAUCUUUUAUAAUCCCUUCAUCGACAUCAUGCGUCUCAUCAGCAGUCUUGUUAGGAUAUCAGAAAGAAGUUGCCUUUGUAGACAAACUACACCAUUGGAUUCUUUUGACCUUUCUCUAACAUUUGAUAGAAAGCUCCUGCCUUUAAAUUUAUGAAAGUUGUGGUUAUAAACAGUCUUUGCUAUGGCUGUCUUCCCAACUCCACCAAUCCCAUAGAGUAUAGCAAUAGCUGCACCAUGGGGGCCAUCUUGCAAACAUGAGUUGAUAUAUUUUACCAGAUGAUCUCUUCCAAUGAAAUGAAGGGGGGCAUGAAAUAUUUAACGAUGCAGUUUCUUUAAUAUUUUACCAGAUGAUUGGACAAGCUGUGCCUCAUACCUGCAUCAGAAAGAAAAAUGCAAUGUAUGAUUUAGUAGUCUCUCCGUAAAGUUUAAAAAUCUUAGUAUCCUAGAAAAAAGAAAUUAAACAAGGCUGUGCAUCAAUGAUUGAUUGCUAUUUUUGUAGCCAUGUUAUCACCGCAUAUUAAAACCAAAACAUGGAAUAAUGUAGUAAUCUUUGCCUUUUCAGGUAGUCAAGGAAAAAAAAAUGAGAAAAAAGUAUCUUUUAUUUUUAUUUUCCUAGUAUGUUCUCUGAGUUGGGAGUAUUAUAGACUUAUAGUUUCACUAAAUUGUAGUGGUAUUAUCAGUUAUCGUCUCAAUGCUUAACUACAAACCUGAAAAAAUUAAGAGUUCAGAACCAGCAUUCUAUUAUUAUGUUGUGUAGUUUCAUCAAGAAAUACAACUUACCCAUCUCCUAAAACCAUUCCUCCUAAAUCUGCAACUUCCUACAAAGCAAUCCUCCACCCAUUCACUUGCUCCAUCUCCUUCUUGAAACGCUUGUCAUGAUCCACAAAUGCUGCAGCAAAGCUCCCUGUUUGAUUUCUGACUUCAGACGGAUCCACGUCAUAGAAGACCGGCAAAAUUAUGCAGUCAGUAUUGCUCUUACAUUCCAUGAUCAUUACAAGUUCAUCCAGGCACCACCGCGACGAACCAUAUGCUUUGGAGAACACGAUUAUCGAUAUUUUUUAUUGUUGUAUUGCCUGUUGGAGCUCUGACUUGAUAUUUUCUCCUCUCCCAAUUUCAUCAUCGUCUCUAAAUGUGUGAAUCCCUGCUUGAACCAGGGCUGUGUAGAGGUGAUCGGUAAAGUUCUUGCGGGUGUCUUCACCUCUAAAACUCAAGAACACUUGAUAUUUACAACUAGAGAACACUUGACAUUUAGAAGCACAGAUGGAGCAAGAAAGGAAAGUCAUUAAGGAUCCCCAUCUGGCUAUGUAAGCCUUAAUUAUUUAGAAAGCACACAUCUUGUAAUCCUUACAAAGCCCACAGAGGUGAAUUUGUUAGUUUAUAAUUUUUUGAGUGGCAUGAUAAGAUGAGAUGAUGAACAUGUAGUCACUAACAGUGGUUUAAUCUAAGCGAUUAUCAACAAAGAAAACAAGACAUCAGCUGGAACCAAAGUACCUGCAAGUUUCCCUUCCCUUCUUCCCUUCUCUCUUCAGUUGUGGCUGCUGUUCUGUAUCAGUAAUCUAAGCGGUUCUGCUCCAAAAUUUUAAGACAACCCUUCUAUAAGAAUGGAGGUUCCAUGGUGUGAUAGUAAUAUGAUUCUGUUGUCAAAAGAGUAUGUGAGGUUUCCCGUUGACUUGGCUGAUCGGAAAAUUGGAAGAGAACUCGAGCGUUUUUUAGUUGUUUAAGAGAAAACAGCAAAUGGGUUUGUGGAGUUCACUGUCUUGGAAAAUGGUGAGCAGCAACAAGGGGACGAUGAUCAGCUGGAGAGAACCUUGUGUAUGUGCAACAGCACAGGUCGAGCUUUUAAUACCUCCAUCACUGCCAUCGGGCCACUCCCACCGCCUCCUCCACUCAGUUCUUAAAAAAGAAGCAAAAAUGGGGUUUGUGAGGGUCUACACAAAACCACAGCUCUGUGGCGUUGGUCAUGCUCUACAAGAUGAGGUUGCGGUAUAUUUCUCCUCAGACAUACUCAGCAAUUUCUUGAAGAUUUAAACCUGGAAUGCUUUCAGCACUUGAUCUUGCAUCAAGAGAAUGGGUUGGGCAAAUCAACAGAGCAUGCCAUGAUAUAG
rnacentral:lncRNA from 1 species